UGGAAGCUGCUGAAAUAUCGCUGGCAGCAGCCACGGUGUCGGUUAAUGUUCAUGGGCAAUGGUAUACAUAUCUGACUGAUAACAUGUGAUUGGUUUGACAUGAAGAAGAAUGAAGUUAAUUACAAGGUGGAAAGAAGAAAAUAAUGCACACACCUGUACAUAGUAGUGGGUGUACAUUUAUGUUUUAAGUAUGAACACAGGAUGGAGGGUUGUUAAUAUGAAGAAAUAUUUCAUGAAUAGGAGAGGGAUGUUGUAAAUAAUAUUUAUAACUGAAUUGAAUGUUUCUUUUCUAUUCUGAUUAAGCUCCCUUUAUUUUCUGUCCAGACUCCAGAGAAAUAAAGUCUGUCUGUCUGUCUGCAUGUCUGUUAAUAACAUUUGGGAUAUAAAUAAUUGCUUUGAUGUUUCAUACGCUAAGUUUCUCUUUCAUUUUGCUACUUGUGAUAUGACCUAUAACCAAAAGUUCUUAGUUGUUAGAAUGGAUUUGGUUCAGGUAAGGAAGGAUGGAAACAAGCAAAAGCUUGUGUAAUCUCUGUAAAUCAUUGGUAACAUAGUUCUGGAAAAUCCAAUUGAAGUAAUGUUUGACCGCUUUUUUGUGGAUUAGGUACCUUAGAAAUGAGAACUUGCACAGAGGAGUGAAUUUUGUAUUGCAUGAAGAGAGUGAAUAAGCUCAACAUAACACCAUUCUUCAUUCCUUUACAAAAUUAGGAAGUUUAAAUGUGAAUGAAUCAACUUACAGUAUUCUUCAUGAUGUAUGAAUCUUUCUGCGAUAUAAACAAUGAGAACCAAGAUGGAAAUUGGAAUUCCUUCAAUGAACAGCAGCAACUUCCUCACUCCGGUGCUCCCCACCUUCCAUCCCCAACAAUCUUUGUCACGGUUUUUGACAAAUUAAAGCUACAAACACCUUAGCUAUUGAAAAGUAUAAGCCAAAAGAAAACAACCCUGUCACUUUCUGGUUAGCAAUAAGAUAUCAUACAUUUCAACCACAUAGAACCUACAAAAUGAUUUAAGAACACAACUUAUAAUUUGCAGAUUGGAAGGAUAGUCUUCAUGGUUGGAGAACAUACAAGUGGCUGUGAAUGUAUAAUUCUUGAAUAGAGUUGAGAAGUGUAUGAAGAUAUUAGGAGCUAUGUGAUUGUUCGUAUAUCAAGAUGGUCUGUGUCUUUGCUACUGUCUUCCAUGGGGAGAGCCAUGGGGUACUCAUUUCCAAAUGUUCAGUGAGAAAAUCAAAUUGAAAGCCUGCAGUGAAUAUCAAUAAAUUAGCCUAUGGAGAAUUUGAGGCUCAUGAGUAUAUAUCAAGAAGACAAGUCACUUAUUAUACCUGGAGAGCUGCUUGGCACCAUGUCUUAUGACCAUAGGCAACAAGAACGUCAAAGUUAAUUUGUGUAUAAGGACAUUUGAGACUAGAACUGACAAUUCAAUCUUAAUAUUGAAGCACAAGAUGUUGAACAUCAACUUCUGUGAAGGAUUAGAGUUUAGGGCAAGUAGAUAUGCCCUUAAAGGAACAGUUAGAUGUCAAUCACAACUGACCUGAAAUUGGCUAGAUCGAAAUGGUACUUCAAACACAUAUUGAGAGGUGCUUUGACUUCUUCUAUGUCUCUGCCUUACAAGGAAGAGAAUACUUCAAAAAAUCCACAUAAUCAUUGGUAAGUACAAGAAGACCCCAAUAUUCUGUGUCUGUUUUCAACUGCUCUGUUGGAAGAAAAAAAAAAAGGACAAAACCCCUCUAAUUGAAGGAAGGGAGCAAAGUAGCAUAAGAUGCUACUUUCCCAUGCCAGUCUUUUGUAUUAUGAAGCUUUGAACCAUCUCAACCCAAAGGAUAUCCAUCAAUCUAAUAGUUCAUCAUGAUUUGCAAAACACAGGUUUGCAUGCAACAAUGACACUAAACAAUAAAGAUUGAUGCUAGUUUAGCUUAUUAGAGAACAAAGGACUACUGAGUCAGACAUCUGUUUUCCAUUGGAGAUGGUGCCCUAAUCAAGAAGAUUAAAGGGUGAUUGGAGUUGGAAGUGUCAUAAUCACCUGAAAGAAAACAAUUGCAAAGACAUGGACAGAUGCACGUAAAAUGUAUGUAUCCAUUAACAAAUGGUUAAUUGAGAGGAAGACAUCAUUUUUGAAACCAAAAGGAUUUCAGGUUUCUUAGCUUUGGUAGUAACACACCCAAGAUCUCCUUGUUUAAUACAAAUCAUCUUCCUAGAACUAAAACAGCAGCAUCCUCAGACGCCUUUGCAGAAGCUCUCAGCACCAGUUAAUGAAGGUGACUCAUGAGGGAUGGUCAAAGGGCUGGCUGAGAUAUCUGAAACAGAAGACAUGUUUAUUAUCUGUCUGUGUACAAUGGGAAUUCCUUGUAUUCAGGAUGUCAAAAUCUUUCUAAACAUCCGACUCUGCAGAUACAAACAAUGGGAAUUCCUCCAAUGAGAAGCACAGGAACAUUGUCAAUUCUAAGAAAAGGAUCCUGUUUCUGAAUAGGAUACAUGACAGUGAUCUAAGUAAUCAUCCCAACAGCAACAUGAGACAGAAGACCUAAUAAAAACCAAAACAAGAACAAAAUGACAUCAAAAUUAGGAAAGAAAUAAAUGCAGCAAAAUCAUAACAAAGAUGCUAUAUUCCUGUAUCCUUGCCUUAGGAAUGUAACUAAUUGGUGAUCUCUCCCUUUAUGCAAGCAGAAGCACAGGAAACACCAUCUCUGGUAAAAUGCUGACUGCCAAACCAAAAUAGAGCAACCUCAGCCAAACAUGACCUGACUUGACCAAUUCAGUACUAGAAACAUAGAAGCCAUUGUAGUAGUGUACUUGUCAUCUCUCUGUUUAAUAUCAGUUAAGUUUUCAGGCACUGAAAGAGCAGAACCUUCCUCACUCCACCUUCCAUCCCCAGCAACCUUUGAAAUAAUUUUGUUACAAAUUAAAACAACAAAUGCCUUAUUUAUUGAAAAGCAUAAGCCCAAAGAAAACAUACCUGUUUCUUUCUGGUUAGGUAUAAGAUACCACACAUUUCAACCUCAUACAACCUACAGAAUGAUGUAAGAGCAACUUGUAAUUUGCAGAUUAUGAAGAGGGUCUCCUCUGUUUUACCAUCAGAAAAUGGACCAAAGCAAUCAAAAUAUUUCUGUAACCAUAAAUUAGCCAAAAAAAUGUGCCCAUGUAUGCUUAUGUAAGAGAAAAUUAGAAAUCAGCCUUGCCAAUUGGAAAGGUAACUUACUUGAUUCAUGGAGAGUAUACAAGUGACUUUGUUUAGUAUGAGCUACCUGGAUUCAAAUAUUUCUUCACUCUUGAUAUCUUUGUUCCUGAUUUGUAGCUUAAUAAGAAAAAUGAAAAAAUAAGAAUCUUAAACCAAACAAACAGAGCAUAAAAUUGACUUUUGUUAAUGUGUAAUUCUUGAAUAGAGUCAAGAAGUGUAUAAAGAUUCUUAUGAUUGUCCAUGAGUAGAACUAUUAUGAUUGUCCAAGGGGAGUUGAACUUGGGUGUUGAAAAUUACCAAUGAAAGAGUCGAGGGCAUGUAUCUUGGCUGUUGUCUUUCAUGGGGAGUCAUUGAAGAAAGAUCAUUGCCAAAUGUCUAGUGAGAAAAUCAUAUGGAAAGCCUACAGUAAAUGUCGAUAAAUUAGUCCAUGGAACAGAAAUAGAGGCUCAUGAGUUUAUUUAAUAAAACAAUUCCCUUAUUAUACCUCAAGAACUGAUUGGCACAAUGUGUUAUGACAAUAGGCAACAACAUCUUAAAAGUUUGUGUAUUAGGAGACUUGAUACUAGAACCACAAAUCCAAUCUUAAUAUCUUGCAGCACAAGAUGUUGAAGAUCCACUUCUAUCAAGGAUGGAGCUCAGGACAAGUAGACGUCACACACAACUGAACUGAACUUGGCAAGAUUGACAGUUCCCAACGACCAGAGCUUAGAGGUGCUUUGACUUCUUUCUUCUGCAAGUACAAGAAGACCUCAAUAUGCCGUAUCAUGACGAUGUAAGAGUGAAGGAAGGGGGUAAAGUAGAAGACAAGUGGCAUCAAGUCAAAAGAUGAGAUUUUGAGUUUGAGACACUAGGCAAUUCCAUAUCAACACAAAUUGGACUUAAAAUAGUGACCGAAACCAAUUGAAUAAUAGGCUCUUUUGGAGGGAUCCUUUUUCUAAUUUCAUAAAUUCUCAGACUCUAAUUCUAUUUCAAAUAAGUCACAAAUCUAAUUAUUUCUAUUUACUUGAUAUAUUUCUCAUUAUCAAAACAAAAAUAUGUUUCUUAUAAGAAAUCAUUCAUGUUCAUCCUGGUUACUUAAUGUGAGUCGGAGAGGAAAAACGAUGAUUAACUUGAUAUGGAAGGGAGAAAAGAUACAGUAUCUUGAUUCUAAUUCAACUCCUGUGAAAAGAUAACUUGCAAAAGGAUCAAAAUAAGUAUUCAUAUAAUUCAAAAUUGUUUACAUGCAAUAGUUAGACGUAGAGCCUAUUUGUGAUGCAAGUAAAAUUGCAAGCACAUUUCAUCAUAGACAUGGAUAGGCAAUACCUAAGGUAUUAGAAGAUGUACGAGUGUUUAAAUCAUCGGUAUUCCACAGAAAAUACAUAAACUUGCAAAACCUUUUUAGUCAUUCAUGUAAUUUAGAGGCCCAAUAAGGUUAAUAAAGUCAUCAAAUUAAACCUUUGGUAAUGAUACCUUUUUGUUAGGCAUUGCCUGGCAGAAAGUUGUAAGUAUGGCAGAAAGUUGAAUCUCCAUUUUUAAGGAUGGAAAAGGGAUCAAUAAGUACAAAUCUAAAGUAGGCCACGAAAAAGAAAUAAAACAAUUAAAAUGUUCAACUGACCAUAAACUACCAGAAAUUCGUCCAUGCCUGCCUGUAUCACAGAAAUUCAUGGAUAAAUUCAGGAAUCACCUCUGCCCAUUAUAAAGGUAAAUUGAAUGAGCCAUUGAAAUAUUUCAAUUGUCUAUGUUAAAAUGCAAGUACCUAUUGUCAGUCUUCCUCCACACCUCUUCACUUCUUUGUUUUCAGUCUUGUAGCAUAAGAGAAAAAACCUGAAGUCAAAGGGCAGAGUAUUUUUGCACACUCAAAUCUCCAACAACAGGGCAGCAAAAAUUGACGCAGGCCAUAUUGCAAAUUUCCAAUGGAAUAGUCUCAGAAGUGUGUUUGCUGCUGCCUUUCCAGGGGGAGACUCAUCAAAUAUUGUUUCAUUGGAAAGAUUAUAGUCAUAUAUCAAGAACACAAGUCUCUUAUACGUGGAGGGCUACUUGGCACCUUGCCUGCCUGACCAUAGGCAAUGGAAUCUUACAAGUUUGUGUAUAUUGCCACAAACUUUUGUUAACCUGAGAAACAUAAAUAUAUUAUCACAAUAGAAAUGAUUAGAAAUUCAGACGCACAUAAAUAUUGGCACAUUGGUCUUUUUGUUUUUUUGGAGUGUAGAACAAGUACCUGACUGACUGUAUGGCACACCCAAGUCAUUAUGUAUGUGGAAUCACCACCUUCAUUAGUCAUUAGUAUAGCACACGAUCUAUCACUAUGUGUGGAAUGUGAGCUAUAUAUUCCCAAUCUUGGCCUUUCUCAAAUUGGCAUCUACACUCUAGCAAAGGACAACCAUAGAUUUUCAGCCAAGAGAGGGAGUUUGGCAGUCUCUCUUUUGUCAAGUAUUGGAGCUGAUCGCAGUCAGAGAUAAACAAUUUUUUAAGAGAGGUGAGGUGUUGAAGACCUACUUCUCUCAAGGAUUCGAGCACAGGGAGGAAGUCCAUCUCUAACUCUUCAAGAGAGGUAAGAUGUUGAAGCCCCUCUUCUCCGAAGGAUUGGAACUUACGGCAGUUGGAGAUGUAUAAUGUUGUUAGAGAGGUAAGAUGUCGAAGCCCGUUGCUGUCCAGAGACUUGAGAUUCGGAAGAUUAGAUAUGUGAAGAGAGGUAAGUGUGGAGGGCAGUAGGGACUCAUUGGGAAAUGAUUCCAUGUCUCGGCAUCCAUCAUUGAUUCUGAAUUCUGUAAGAGAGGACAGUCUUUGCAAACCCCAGUCCACCUGAGAUGUGAGUUGGUUGCAGGAUGAAAUUUCAACUUCACGUAGGUCGGAGGGCAAACCAUCUCUCUGAAACAACAAUUCUGGACAAUCUAUUAACCUCAAUUCCUGCAACGAUGAGAGCGUGUGCGCCAGCAACUUCAGCUUCCUGCAUCUGGAGAUCUCAUAGUUUGCAGACUCGAGAGCGGGCAAUUCAAUAUAUACAAGAUCAGGGCACCGAAUGAUUUGAAAACUAUUAAGAGAUGUGGGAUCCCCCUCUGAAACGGAGAUGGAGAGGAAUUCAAGCCCUUCGAAAUCAGAGAUGUUGAGACUGUUCAACCGUGGGAAGAUGCUUAAUGAGAAAGAUAAUGAGAAAGAAUUACGGCUGCUAACAUCACAAAUGGAUAAACUUUCAAGGAAUGGAUGGUGGGAUCUCAAUAGCGCAUGCAGGAGAAACUCCAGUUUGUUACACUUCGAGAUACGUAGUGACUUCAAUGUAGUGGGGAAACCAACACUGUGCAAGGGUCUGGAGAAACGACAACUUGUGAUGCACAAAUGUUGGAGAAGACAUGUGCUUCUUUGUAGCAUUCCCUCCUCCAAUACCCACUCUAUCGAAUCACAUUCUCUAAUGAAUAGCGUCUGUAUUCGUGGUGGUAGUUCCUCCAAUUGAGAAAUGUCUGAAAUUUCAAUUACUGAAGUUUGGAGAUUAGUGAACCCACAAGCUGGCCUUUUCAACCGAAAUUUACCAGAAUACGACAUUUUCCAUUCACGGAUUUGAGGAGCUCGGAGGGAGCCCACAAGCAACUCACAACCAAUGAUUUCAAGUUUCUUCAAUGAACGAAGCUGUUUUGGUAAUUUCCCAGUGAGUUUGGGAGAUUCAUUUAUGCAAAGCUCCUGAAGACGAGGGAAUUCUCCACGUCUGCAUCCACAACAUAACCAUUUCUCCCAGUUGUACAUCUUCUCGAAUCUUAGAGUUUGUAGGGACGGGAAGGAGGGCUCAAUUGUGUUGGAGGAAGAAGCAUUCCCAUAAAAUUCACUACCCACCAUUUUAACUCCUUUCAUUUGUAAGAUAGAAAGAUGUUUAAGAGAGGGUAGCUGCCCGAGUGGUGGCAAUGAUGGACAAUUGUUACAAUUGUGAAGCUUCAGGUAAACAAGAUUGAAGAAUGAAGGAUCUCCUACCCAAGCUGGAAAGCUUAAACCACUAAAAGAAUAAAUAUGGAGUCUCUUGAGGUUUGUAUGUGGCUGUAAGCUGCUGAGUAUAUCCCUUCUAUUUUGCACAACAACACCAGCAUCGAUAUUCUUGUAAUCCCACUGCAACUUCAACUCAUCAAGGUACUUUUUAUCCUUCAUAUUAGCUUCUAAUGCAUCCCUAUCACAUACAACAUUCUGCAGCUUUGAAAUGACAAGACUUCCCGAAAGCUCCCUCAAUGCUCCCAAUCUUAACCCACCAUUUUGGCCCACAAUAAAUGUAGAAAGUGAUUGUAAAUUCUUUAGCUUACAUAUAUCACUUGGCAUCUCUUUCACUGAAGAAGUAUAACGAAUAUCAAGGUAGCGCAAAUUAAUCAAUUUUUCCAUCCUUGAGGGUAAUUCAACGAGAUAAUCACAUCCCAAUAACAUCAUUGUUUGUAAAUUGUAUAAGUUACAAACCGAUUCAGGCAACUUUUGAAUCCUUGUCCUAGAGAGAUCCAAGUAGCGCAAGUGUUUCAACUUCUCAAUCGAAUGAGGCAAAUCAGUAAUAAGAUAACCAUUCAAACACAACACUCGUAAACAUUUCAUUUCUGGCAAUAUAUGCUGUAAAACUCUAUUACUCAAGUAUGUAUAAUAAUAGUUUCUUCUUGGUAAAAAUGUUCGGAGACGCUUCAUUUGAGGAAGUGUGUCAAAACUCUCAUAUACAUCAAAUUCACUAAUCAAAUACGAUAAAUGACGAGUUUUCUUCGAGACUCUGUAUAUCUUACCAUCCUCCAAAGAAACAGAAAAUUCUAUAGAUACCAAUUGUGCCAAGUCAUUAACAAGGUCGUGCAUUACAAAACAUGACUCAUUACUUACUGAAUUUUGGAAAAAUGACUUUGAUAGAAGUUCUUCAAAGUACAAAUUGCCUACCUCCUCCGGUCUUUUCUUGCUUUUUGAUUGUUCCAACAAACCUUCUGCCAUCCAUAACAAAACUAGCUUCUCCUUUUCGAAUUUGUAGUCUUUGGGAAAGAUUGAACAAUAAGAAAAACAACGUUUUAGAUGUGAAGGCAGGUAAUAAUAACUCAACCUCAGAGCAGGAAGAACCGCAUCUGUGGGCAAAUCCCAUAAUUCACUGUUUAAUACAUCAUCCCAUUCUCUUGCUUCAACCUUGGAGUGUAAGAGACUCCCCAUUGCUUUUAUAGCCAGCGGUAGACCUUGGCACUUGUGGACAAUCUUUUCUCCGAUUGCUUCUAGUUGUGGAUGCCCACUUGAGUCUCCAUUUUCAAAUGCAAGUUUUUUGAACAGGGACCAGCCAUCUUCAGAGGAUAACCCACCUAAACAAUGAGUAUGGACUGCACGCAUGGCAGAUGCAACCUUGGUGCUUCUCGUAGUUACAAUAAUCUUGCUUCCCUUUGCCCCGACUAUGAGCGGAGUUCGUAGCGUAUCCCAGUCACAAGAGUCUUCGUUCCAAACAUCAUCAAGGACAAGUAGAAAUUUCUUCAUAUUAAUUCUCUCCUUCAGUUGAACCUGAAGUAGAUUUAGAUCAGUGGUAUUGGACGUGGAUGAAUUGAUUGCCUCGAGAAUUGUUUUCGUUACUCUGAUAGGAUCAAAUUCUUCGGAAACACAAACCCAUGCCUUGAGAUCGAAGUGUUCCUUCACCCUUUGGUCAUUGUAGAGAAGCUGGGCAAGUGUGGUUUUGCCUGUGCCACCCAUGCCGACUAUGGAGAUCACACCCAUCGCAUCAGUACUCCUUGCAUUAUUGCACAGCAACAGUUGAACCAUCUCCUCCUUAAUUUGAGCCCUGCCAUAGACAAGAGAUUCAUCUACCAAAGAAGUAGAAGGCCACCUUUGUGCCAAUUUCUCACCAACGCCUUCUUUCAACCCGAGGACGUCUCUGUCUCGUGCCAUAUCUUCUAGUCUAUCAAUGAUCUCCUCCACCCUAGACUCUAUGCCCUGACCAUAAAAUGGAGCGAGAACCCAGGUUGACAUGUCCAUGAUGUUACCCACCUGACUUGUGCUGGUUUGGGACUCCGCAGCUUCCACCUUGUGUCGCAAAGCCUCUGUGGUGAUCUCAUCCAAUAUGUCCUCCGCAUCAUACACGGCCUCUUUAAGCAAGACCAGCCACUUCUUCACAUAUGGAUUUGUAAAUUGUUUGACCUCAGCAUCGUUGAGCACUGCAUGGACGACCAGCAACUUCCUUUCCAACUUCUUCAGGAGCGCAUCGCUGAGCUUCUGCCCCCGGAUGAAGCUCACAACCUCGCGAGAAGCCAACCUGUCAAAUAGAACAUGGAGAGAAGCUGAGAGAAACGCACCUCCAACUAAAGCCCCUGCCAUUUCUGUUUCUCUUGCAAAGGAGGUGAAAGAUGAAUCGAGGGAAGAAGAAAGCAAGCAGACCCAAAAUGAAACCUCCAAACCAGAAAAAAAAAUUAUAGAGAAAAUCCAACUUGUUGACGGUAAAGGAACUUUGGAUUCCAAAGUUUUCAUGGUAGACCCCCCCAUAUGCCAGCUUUCUUUGCCGACAACAAACUUCAUUGGUCAAUAUAUAGAAAAUGAAAAUUUGAUUGAAGAUUUUCAUCCUUCGUACAUGAUUUUCCUUCUAUUGUGAUAAAAACGUAGACUUAAUUGAAGCUUCAUGAAAGCCAUCUUCUGACUUUUUCUGGAUUUCAUCAUUGAUUAAAUGAAAAGUUUUGGUUGUAAAUCAAGGUAUUUUGAGAAUUAAAUGAGAUUUAUAUAAAAAAAUUUAUGAAAAUUUACUUUUAUUGUGUGCUUAAUAUAGGUGAAACUAACAAUUUUUUAGGGUUAAUAUAAAUAUUUUUCUCGUCAGAAUCAUCAAACCAAAAAAAGUUAUCAGGUUUUGAUUUGGAUUUAAGGGUUAAAUCUUGGGGGAUCAUGAUUAAAGAAUGAUAUUAUAAAUAUAUAAUUUAUACAUCAAUUAAAAAUAACUCACAAAAAUUAAAAUUAUUUGUAAAUAUUUUAAAUAAUUGAAAUAUUUUACCAUUUUAUGUUUAAUAUUAUUAUAUUAAAUUGUGAUAAGAAUAAAAUAUAAAUUUAUUAAUAUUUUUAUUUUACUAGUUACUAAAAAUAUUGUAUUUAAUUAUUGAAAGAAUGUAUUAUAUAUAAAAAAUAGAAUAAGAUUUUGAUAUUUAUUUUUUUCAUUUUAUAUUUUAUAAAUCUUGUUAAUAUUUUAGUGUGAAUAUAUACAUGAAUAUCCAAUAUAUUUAUUUUAUAUAUAAAAAAAAACCAUGUUUAGGGGAAAAAUGGAAAUGGUUGGCACUUUUACAUUUAAGGGGAAAGCAAGUGGAGGCAACGUAGUUUGUAUCUUUUUUCUAUUAAAUACAAAAAAGAGGUACAAGAACCUAAAAAAUAGAAGAAAAAUAACAAAAAAAAAAAAAAAGACGCAACAGUUGGGAAAAGGUUGGUCUAAUUCUUAUUUGACCAACCAAUUUGAACUCUUAGACUUGCUUAAGCUUUUAGUAAAUUGAUUAUUCAAAAUGGUAUCAUAACUUGAUUUGAUAGGAGGUCUUAUUGAUAGGAGGUGUUAAGAAUAUAAUAUGAAUAUUAAACCCAAAUCGUAUAAAUUUAAUUUUUAGGGAAAUUGGUUGUUUAACAAGAUCGAUGGUUCAAGUGGUCCACUAGGUAAAAUUGUUCAAUUUCUCAAUAGUAGGAUGAUUGGUCGAUAUUCCAACAGGUCGAAUUAUCCAAUUUGGUUCAAUUUUUAAAACCUUAAUUAAUAAGCAACAACAUACAAUUUCUAGAUGGAUUAUGAUUCUUUUAUCGAAUUUCAAUAGAAUCGUUAAUGCAUAAAGUUUUUUUAUAUAUAGAUACUAUGGAUUUGUUUGGCAAAUUUUGAAAAACAAUUCUUAGUUAUUUUGAGGAAUAAAAUUCUAUUUGAAAACUCAAAUAUAAAAAAAGGCUUUAUUAAUUUAUUUUUUAUAAAAGUAUUGUGCAUUUAUGUAUAAUUCAAAAGUUUUUAAAAUAUUUUACAUUUUUUCAAUUAUUACUCACAACUCAAGCAUGCACAAAAAAUAACUAAAAACAUCUCAAUUUUAUUAUAAAAAAGUUAUUUUUAGAAUACAUUCUCAAAAAAUUAUUUUGUAUAAAAAAUGUUCUAUAGAAAAAAAAUAAAAAUUCAAAAUCAUUAGUAAGUAAGCCUAUGCAACUGUGAAUGCUUUGCACAAAAUGAAAAAGAAAAAUGGUAUUUUUCAAUACCAUUUGAAAUCAUGAAAAGACCAUAACCUUGCAUACAAUAUAUGGGUCAAGGCCUUUAAAAAAAAAAAAAUCUUUUUAUUUGGAUAUCUAACUUGGGAUUCAAGGUUUAAUUAGGAAUUUGGUCAUUCAUCACCAUUUUCAUUAGUUGAAAUUCUUUGGUAGACUUGGUUGUUGACUUGGUAGUUCAUAUCAAGCCAUAUGGACUUCAGACCCACCCACUAGAUAUGAAUGAAAAUAAAGGCAAGUGGGGGUGGUAGGAAGACUCUUAUUAAUAGCUUUUGUCAAGUACUGGAGCUUAGGGUAGUUGUGGACCAAUGUUACUUAGGAUCUUAUCAAUUCUUGUUACUGACAGCUGGGGUUGUAGCUUAAGAAAAUAUCUUCAAUCAAACAAAUGAUACACCAGCAAACCCAAGUCUCCAACAAGAAUCAAAUUUCGCAUACCAGAUUUUCACCUUAUCCUUUCUCUAUUAUUUUUUCAAACAAAAAUUCCAUUAAUGUUAAAUUAUUAUUAAGUUGCAUAUUUUAGUUGCUUGAAUAUCAUUAUUUAAUAAGGGGCCAUGGGGUGUUAUGUAAUCCAAGUAGAAAUUAAUAAUAACUCUUUGUGCAAUUGUUUAGCCUACAUUUUUUUUUCUUUUUUCAUUUAGACAACACUUGUAGCAUCUUAAAUCCUGGUUUCCCUCAUUGGAUUGAAGUAGUUUUAGCAGAAAAUGUAAUGUGCAAAACCAUGGCUGCUACAUGUAACUCUAUCGAUAUAUCUAAAUCAACUAUUUUUUUUUGUCAAAGGUGAAAAAUGAUUAGUACUAGUACAUUAAAAUAAGAACUAUAUGUUGCAUAAGGAAAAGGUUUAAUAUUGCAACAUAUUAAUAGAAGGGCAUCAACUAAAAUUAUCCAUAUAUAAAGGUGUAUAGGAUUUUAUUAUGAUUCGAUCAAUCAUGCCUACCUUCACAGAUGCGAGAUAACAUUUCACAAUAUGAUAGAAAAUAUUACAGAGGAUACAAAUAAUUACAACUAUUGGAUUUCAAAAUAUUUCAAGUUUUCCACUCUUUGUAUUUUCAUUCUAAAUCAUGAGCUAUUUUGCUCCAUCCGGUGUCUCCCACUCUUCCUCGUAUCUACACCCUAGACCGUAAGGCCUCUUACUCUAUCAGAUGUCUUUUACUCAUUUUCACAUCUCUAUCCAUAAUAUGUAGUCUUUACAAACUGACCUCUAUUAUAUCUCUUCUCAUAACUUUUUCAACUUGAUCAUAACCUAAAAUAUUUAUAGAGAUACUCCUAUUUGCUUUACUUAUUCUAUAAAGAAUCUAAUUACGAUCACAUAUCAACCUAGGAAACAUUUUAUAUAAUAUUCCUUUUUGACCGCUGGAUUUGUAAUUUGCUUCGCCUUGGCAUCAUUGAGCACGGCAUGGACAGACAACAAUUUUCUCUUCAACUUCUUGAGGAGUGCAUGAUUGAGCUUGUGCCCCAUGAUGAAGUUGAGUACCUCGUGAGAAGCAAGUCUGUGAAAUAGAACUUGGAGAGAAGCUGAGAGAAAAACACCUCCAGCCAAAGCCCCAUCCAUGUCUGUUUCUCUGGCAAAAGGAAGUGAAAGAUGAAUCGAGGGAAGAAAGUAAGCACACCUAAGAUGAAACCUCCAAACUAGAAAAGAUUGGUUCAGGCGAAGUUUCCAAUGGUUGAAUGAAUUAUUGGACAUUGUGGUAGAGCCCAGACUUCUGCAUUGUUAUUGUUGACAAAACAUCACAGCUCAGUGGUCCACGAAAAGAAUACAAGGAGAAAGGAAGAAAAGGAAAGGGGACGUAAACGAAAGUCAUACAUGGAUAUGUGAACUUACAAAUCCUAUAUCCUUUUAUCAAUAAAACAGUUGAAAUAUUUUAUCAUUUUUAUAUUAAAUCAUGAUAAAAAUAAAAUGUAAAUUUAUUAAUAUUUUUAUUUUAUUAGUUCGUAAAUUAUAAUAUUUAAUUACUAAAAAAUAUAUUAUAUGUCAAGAAAAGAAGAAGUUUUUUUCUUUUCCUUUUUCUUUUUUAAAAUUUUACGUGAAUAUUCAAUAUAUUCAUUUCAAAUAAUUAAUGUUAUUAAAAAUGGUAUUUUUAAUACUAUUUGACAUCAUAAAAGGACCAUAACCUUGCAUACAAUAUAUGGGUCAAGGCCUUUUCAAAAAAAUAAUUUGUUUUUAUUUGGUCAUUCAGCACCAUUUUCAUUUAUUGAAAUUCUUUCGUCGACUUGGUUGUUGACUUGGGAAUUCACGUCAACCCAUAUGGACUUCAGAUUCCCCACCAGAGAUGAAUGAAAAUAAAGGCAAAUAUGAAAGGCAAGUGGUGGUGGUAGGAAGACUCUUAUCAAUAACUUUUGUCAGGUACUGGAGCUUAGGGUGGCUGUAGACCAAUGUCAUCCCGAAUCUUAUCAAUCCCUGUUACUGACUGCCGGGGUUAUAGCUUAAGAAAAUAUCUUCAAUCAAUCAAAUGAUGCAUCCGCAAAUCCAGGUCUCCAGCAAAAUUCAAAUCAUUAUUCACAUCACAACCUUUUUUGAACCUAUGUGCAAGCAAGGAGGCUGCUCGUGCGGUUAGGUGUUAAUGAAGGAUGAAAAUAUCGGUAAUCAUGGAUAUAUUAGUACUUGAAUUUUACGGAUAUAUUGAGAUAUAUCGACGAAUAUUUUGCCACAAAAUAUCGAUAGAUCAAAAAUUCAUCAAAACUUAUGAAAAUGUAAGAAAAAAACUCUUAAAAAUGAAAUUAGAAGUAUAAUAGACAUUUUAAAGUUGUUUUGUUGAAAAAUUAAUAUAUGUAUGAUAUGAUUUGCGAUAUUAAAUUUAAUUAUAUAGUGUUGACUAAUAAGAAAUGUGAAUUUUUUAAGUGUAGACUCAUUAUGAAGUUAAAUUAUUACAAAUAUACUAAUUAUAUAAUUUAAAUAUAUUACUAUAUUAAGUUAAUUUACUUACCUCUAUUGAAAAUAUAUUAAUUAAUUGUAAAAAUGUACUAAUUUAAAUUCAAUGUUAUAUUAAUUUAAAAUUGUAUUAAGUUAAUUUAUUCUUAAUAUACUAUUAUUACACUUGAAUAUCAAAAUAAAAUAAAAUUAUUAAUUUAAAACUAAAUUAUUGAAAAUUUACUAAUUAUGUUAUUUAAAAAUAUUUAUGAUUUUUAUUUUAAAAUAUUGGUACAUUUUGAUACAAAAUAUUUUUAUUUUAAAAUAUUGAUAAUUUUAUUUGUGAUUUUAUAUUUGUUUUAUAUUUAAUUAGUAUACAAAAUAAAUUAUAAGAUAAUUAAAGUUAACUUAUUUAUAAUAAUUUAAUUUUUUACCAAUUUUUCACUGAUAUAUUAUAUCCAAUAUAUCUUUGAAAUUUCAGCAAUUUUUUCCCAUUUAGGAUCGAUAUUUUGCUUGUAUCACCGAUAUAUUUGUGACACCGAAAUUUACCGAUAUUUCCAUCAGAUGAUAUAUCUUACUUAUAUAUUGUAUCCACCUUCUUCGAUACACUAUAUAUCGGCGAGAUAUUGCCAAUAUAUCUUGAUAUUUUCUUCCUUGGUGUUAACAGGGUUAGCCAAUUUGUUGAAUUUGUAGUUUAACAUCCACACACACAUUCUUUCCACAUCAUUUGAUGGCCAUUCAUAGAUUAUAUAUAAAUUUAGAGUACUUAGGAUUUGAGGGCCAUGAAGGGAAAAAAGACAGUGGUAAAGAAGGAAAAAAGUAGAACUGUAAUUAGCUUGGCCCUUGAGAAAUAUUUUUUGGUCACACUGUUCCAUCAUUUGGCCUGAACGAAAAUCCUCAAUAUGUCAAAGCUAUAUUGUACAAAAUUCCUUACAGGCUAAUAUUUGUUGACACACUUCUGCCAUGAAUACAUAAGCCGGUAGUGUUAGAGCUCUCCACAUUACUGAGACAGAUGGGCUCCUGUCAUGAAACAUUUGAUUUUUCCAGGAAAAGGAAAAUUUUGUCCUAGUUGAGUUCCAAUGACCCGUCCUUAUAUUUGCUUGCGCAAUUUUGGAGUUCAUUCUCUCCCUCCUUAAUUGUCUAAGAACUGAUGGAUGCUAAUCUUAAACCGUCUGGCAUUAGCCAACCCUAUGGAGAUGGAAAACAUGGUAGUUAGGUGUGGCGAAGAAGUCUCAAAGCUCUUGGACCCUUUUGAAGAGGCAGGAAUUGAAGAAAUUGUUGAAAUCAUGAGUGGAUUUUCAAGAGAUUGUGAGGAAGUCGCCAACAUCGACAAGUUUCAAGCGAGGAAAGCAGUUAUGAGCAGGAUGUUGGUGAAGAGCCUGCAACCUGGGGAUGUCAUGUUUGAGAGAAUAUCCCAUGCUGUUUAUUUGGCUGCAAGAGGAGUAGUGCUUGUAGGGAAGGGCCCUCAAGGAAGAAAAUUAGCAGAAAUGGCACUCUGGCGGGUGAGAGCUGUUGAUCUGAUUGAUAGAGUGGUGACAACUGCUGUAAUAUUGGUGGCAGCAGCCACAGUGUCGGUUAAUAUUCAUGGGCAAUGGUAUACAUAUCUGAUUGAUUUGACAUGAAGAAGAAUGAAGUUAAUUAUAAGGUGGAAAGAAGAAAAUAAUGCACACACCUGUACAUAGUAGUGGGUGUACAUUUAUGUUUUAAGUAUGAACACAGGAUGGAAGGUUGUUAAUGUGAAGAAAUAUUUCAUGAAUAGGAGAAAGGGAUGUUGUAAAUAAUAUUUAUAACUUAAUUGAAUGUUUCUUUUCUAUUCUGAUUCAACUCCCUUUAUUUUCUGUCCAGACUCUAGAGAAAUAAAGUAUGUCUGUCUGUAUGUCUGUUAAUAACACUUGGGAUAUAAAUAAUUGCUUUCAUGUUACAAUCAAAAGUUCAUAGUUGUUAGAAUGGAUUUGGUUCAGGUAAGGAAGGAUGGAAACAAGGCAAAAGCUUGUGUAAUAUCUGUAAAUCAUUGGUAACAUAGUUUUGGAAAUUCCAAGUGAAGUAAUGUUUGACCACUUUUUUCUGGAUUAGGUACCUUAGAAAUGAGAACUUGCACAGAGGAGUGAAUUUUGUAUUGCAUGAAGAGAGUGAAUAAGCUCAACAUAACACCAUUCUUCAUUCCUUUACAAAAUUAGGAAGUGUAAAUGUGAAUGGAUCAAGUUACAGUAUUCUUCAUGAUGUAUGAAUCUUUCUACUGAUAUAAACAAUGAGAACCAAGAUGGAAAUUGGAAUUCCUUCAAUGAACAACAACAACUUCCUCACUUUGGUGCUCCCCACCUUCCAUCCCCAACAAUCUUUGUCACAAUUUUAUGACAAAUUAAAGCUACAAACACCUUAGCUACUGAAAAGUAUAAGCCAAAAGAAAACAACCCAGUCACUUUCUGGUUAGCAAUAAGAUGUCAUACAUUUCAACCACAUAGAACCUACAAAAUGAUUUAAGAAAACAACUUGUAAUUUGUAGAUUGGAAGGAUAGUCUCCAUGGUUGGAGAACAUAUAAGUGGCUAUGAAUGUAUAAUUCUUGAAUAGAGUUGAGAAGUGUAUGAAGAUAUUAGGAGCUAUGUGAUUGUUCAUAUAUCAAGAUGGCCUGUGUCUUUGCUACUGUCUUCCAUGGGUAGAGCCAUGGGGUAUUGUUUCAUUGGAAAGAAAGAUCAUUUCUAAAUGUCCAGUGAGAAAAUCAAAUUGAAAGCCUGCAGUGAAUAUCAAUAAAUUAGCCCAUGGAGAAUCUGAGGCUCAUGAGUAUAUAUAAAGAAGACAAGUCACUUAUUAUACCUGGAGAGCUGCUUGGCACCAUGUCUUAUGACCAUGGCAACAACUUAAAAGUUAAUUUGUAUGUAAGGACAUUUGAGACCAGAACUGACAAUUCAACUUCAAAGUUAAUUUGUAUAUUGAAGCACAAGAUGUUGAACAUCAACUUCUGUGAAGGAUUGGAAUUUAGGGCAAGUAGAUAUGCCCUAAAAGGAACAGUUAGAUGUCAACCACAACUGAACUGAAAUUGGCUAGAUUGAAAUGGUACUUCAAACACAUAUUGAGAGGUGCUUUGACUUCUUCUAUGUCUCUACCUUACAAAGAAGAAAAUACUUCAAAAAAUCCAUAUAAUCAUUGCUAAGUACAAGAAGACCCCAAUAUUCUGUGUCUGUUUUCAACUGCUGUGUUGGAAUAAGAAAAAAAAAAAACCCUCUAAUUGAAGGAAGGGGGCAAAGAAGCAUAAGAUGCUACUUUCCCAUGCCAGUCUUUUGUAUUAUGAAGCUUUGAACCAUCCCAACCCAAAGGAUAUCCAUCAAUCUAAUAGUUCAUCAUGAUUUGCAAAACACAGGUUUGCAUGCAACAAUGACACUAAACAAUAAAGAUUGAUGCCAGUUUAGCUUAUCAGAGAAAAAAGGACUACUGAGUCAGACAUCUGUUUUCCAUUGGAGAUGAUGCCCUAAUCAAGAAGAUUAAAGGGUGAUUGGAGUUUGAAGUGUCAUAACCACCUGAAAGAAAACAAUUGCAAAGACAUGGACAGAUGCACAUAAAAUGUAUGUAUCCACUAACAAAUGGUUAAUUGAGAGGAAGACAUCAUUUUUGAAACCAAAAGGAUUUUUCUUAGCUUUGGUAGUAACACACCCAACAUCUCCUUGUAUAAUACAAAUCAUAUUCCUAGAACUAAAAUAGCAGCAUCUUCAGGCGCCUUUGGAGAAGCUCUUAGCACCAGUUAAUGAAGGUGACUCAUGAGGGAUGGUCAAAGGACUAGCUGAGAUAUCUGAAAUAGAAGACAUGUUUAUUAUCUGUCUGUGAAUAACUAGUGUUGAGCAAAAUGCCUUAGUAGCUACAAAAAUGCUGGAAGACGUGUGAAAGUUGUUUUUGAAUUGAGGAAGCUUAGGAAUCUGUUAAGAAGGCUGCUGAGGUGAGAAGAGAUGCUGAAAUUGAGGCUGCAACCAUAAAACAACUUAGUCAAUGAACCUGAUAGAGUUUCAUGGAGCUGUUAUGCUGCUGUUGCUAUUUUAUAAGAAAUAGCUGUUAGUUCCAGCUAUUUUUGCUGCUUUUCUAUUGUUUUCUAUUGCAAACUUGUGUAUAAAUGUUGCAUUUAUCAUUCAAUAAGAGUAGACAUUUUCGUUGUCUCAUAUACAACUUUUGGUUGUUGCUUCCAGCACUUCUAGAUUCUAAAACCAACAGAUUGGUAUCAGAGCCUUCUAUCUUAAGGGACCUGUGAGGAUUGAGUGAAGCCAAAAUACCUUCAAAUGGAUGGAGAUACAAGCUUUCUGUCAGUACCAGUUUUCAAUGGUGAUAAUUAUCAAGCAUGGGCUGUUAGAAUGACAGUCCACCUUGAAGCUUUGGAUAUUUGGGAGGCAGUAGAAGAAGAUUAUGAAGUACCACCACUUGGAGACAAUCAAAGUAUCAAUCAAAUGAAGAUUCACAGGGAAAGAAAAACAACGAAAGCGAAAGCCAAGGCCUGCCUCUUCUCCGCAGUUUCACCUUCCAUUCUCACCAGAAUCAUGCAAAUGGAGUUUGCUGCAGAAAUCUGGGAGUAUCUAAAAAAUGAGUACCAGGGGAAUGAAGGGGUGCAGAAUAUGCAGGUAAUGAAUUUAAUCCGAGAAUUUGAAAUGACCAUAAUGAAAGAGUCUCAAACUAUCAAAGAUUAUGUUGAACAACUACUUAGCAUAGCAAACAAGGUAAGAUUGUAUGGUAAGGAAUUUUCUGAUGAAAAAAUCGUUCAGAAAAUCUUAGUAACUCUGCCUGAAAAAUAUGAAGCCACAAUCUCUUCCUUGGAAAACUCUAAAGAUCUGUCAAGUAUAUCUUUGGCAGAAAUUGUUAAUGCUUUGCAGGCCUUGGAACAAAGGAGAAUGAUGAGACAAGAAGGAUCUGUUGAGGGAACAUUUCAAGCCAAAUCACAAAACAAUGAUUUCAGAAAAGACAUAAAGAAAAACAAGAAGAACAACAAGUCAAGCAAUAAUAAAAAGAAUCAGAAAGGAGCCCAUCCACCUUGCCUUCAUUGCAAAAAAACAAAUCAUCCUUCACAAAAGUGUUGGUGGAGGCCAGAUGUCAAGUGCAACAAUUGUGGUCAAUUAGGCCAUAUGGAGAAGGAAUGCAAAACACAACAAGAAUGAGAGAUCAAGGUUGCAGCUGCUGAUCAAUAUCAUGAAGAACAGUUGUUUGUUGCCACCUGUUUUUCCAGCAAAAACACGUCUGAAAGUUGGCUCAUAGACAGUGGUUGCACAAACCACUUAACUUAUGAUCAAGGGCUUUUUAAGGAACUUGACAAAACAACCAUUUCCAAAGUAAGAAUUGGAAAUGGGGAAUACAUCUUAGCAAGGGGCAAAGAGACUGUUGCCAUUGAAAGCCUCUCAGGUUUGAAACUUAUCCCUGAUGUUUUAUUUGUUCCUAAUAUUGAUCAAAAUCUCUUGAGUGUUGGGCAGCUACUUGAGAAUGGUUUCAAGGUGCUAUUUGAGGACAAGUUCUAUAUGAUCAAGGAUGGAAAUGGAAAAGAUGUGUUCAAGAUCAAGAUGAGAGGCAAAAACUUUGCCUUGAAUAUGAUUGAGGAAGAGUAGGUUGCUGUUUCUCAAGAAAAUAAUGUCACAGCUUUAUGACAUAAGAGAUUGGGGCAUUUUCAUCAUAAUGGAGUGCUCUACAUGAAGAAGAAUCAACUUGCAGUAGGUCUACCUGACCUGAAGCAAAAUCUUCCUACUUGCGUAGCUUGUCAGUAUGGAAAACAAUCCAGACUUCCUUUCGCACAGAAAUCUACAUGGAGAUCAUCACACAAACUGCAACUUGUACACACUGAUGUUAGAGGACCUCAGAGAACACCAUCUUUGAAGGGUAGUAAGUACUAUAUUGCCUUUAUAGAUGAUUAUACCAGAUAUUGUUGGAUUUUUUUCCUAAAUUUUAAAUCUGAGGUUGCUGAUGUAUUUUGGAAGUACAAGGCUCUAGUAGAAAACCAAAGUGGUGCCAUCAUACAGGUUAUAAGGACAAAUAAUGGCACUGAAUAUACUUUUGAAAGAUUCUAACAAUUUCUGUGAAGAAGCAGGCAUAGAGCACCAAUUGACUGCACCUUACACACCACAACAGAAUGGAGUGGUGGAGAGGAAGAAUAGGACUAUAAUGGAGAUGUCAAGAUGCCUUUUGCAUGAGAAAGGGCUACCAAAAAAGUUCUAGGCUGAAGCCGCAAACACUGUAGUGUUUCUACUGAACAGACUCCUAACCAAAGCUUUGAAAAAAAGACUCUUUUCGAGGCUUGGUUUGGAUAUAAACCUCUGUUGUUAAACUUAAAAAUAUUUGGUUGCCUUUGUUUUUGUUAUGUGCCUCAGGUGAAACGGGACAAGUUGGAUAAAAAGGCAGAAGUCGGGAUUUUUGUAGGAUACAACAGCCAAUCAAAGACUUAUAGAGUCUAUAUGCCUCAUGCUGACAAAGUCAUUGUUAGCAGAGAUGUCAAAUUCAUGGAGGAUGAUAAAUGGAGUUGGGAUGCUAAAAAAAAUCAGAAUUUUAAGUUUCUUGAUGAAAAUAUUGAUGACAUUCCCUUAAGAGGCACCAAAUCACUUUCUAAUAUUUAUCAAAGGUGUAAUGUGGCUGUGUUUGAGCCUGUAGGUUUUAAUGAAGCCGUUGAGGAUAAAAAAGGGAGGGUUACAAUGCAGGAGGAACUCAACAUGAUAGAGAAAAACAACACUUGGGAGCUAGUUGACAGACCAACACAUAAAAAGGCCAUUGGUGUCAAGUGGGUUUAUAGAACCAAACUCAAUUCUGAUGGUUCUGUAAACAAACAUAAAGCCAAGUUGGUUGUCAAAGGUUAUGCUCAAAUGUUCGGUGUGGAUUUUUCAAAAACCUUUGCACCUGUAGCAAGGUUGGAUACAAUAAGGAUGUUGCUAGUUUUGGAUACUCAAAAGGGUUGGAAAAUCUAUCAGCUAGAUGUAAAAUCAGCUUUUCUAAAUGGCUACCUUAAGGAGGAAAUCUUUGUGGAGCAACCUGAAGGAUUUGCAGUAAAAGACAAAGAAGACAAGGUUUAUCAACUAAAGAAAGCCUUGUUUGGCUUGAAGCAAGCCCCUUGAGCUUGGUACAACAGGAUUAAUGUACAUCUGCUUGGUCUGGGGUUUAAAAAAAGUCAGAGUGAAUCCACACUCUACAUUAGAAAAAUUGAUGUUGACAUACUUAUUAUUUCAUUAUACGUUGAUGAUUUGCUUGUAACAGGAAGCAAUCAAUGUUUAAUGGAUAAAUUCAAAGCUGAAAUGGAGGAGGUCUUUGAGAUGACAGAUCUUGGAGACAUGUCUUAUUUAUUGGGAAUGGAAGUGCAUCAGAAUCAGCACGAGAUAUUCAUCUGUUAGUAGAAGUAUGCAAAAGAAAUUCUAAAAAAGUUCAAGAUGGAGGAAUGCAAGCCCACAACCACACCUAUGAAUCAAAAAGAAAAGUUUUGCAAAGAAGAUGGUGCUGAAAAAGUAAAUGAAGAGUUAUACAGAAGCAUGAUUGGAUGCUUGAUGUAUUUGAUUCCAACAAGGCCAGGUCUACUCUCAUGAUACAUGCAUUGUGCUAGUGAAAUUCACUUGUAGGCAGCAAAACGUAUUGUGAGAUAUAUAAAAGGCACUAUUGACUUUGGCAUUAAGUUCAAGUAGGUGCAGAAUUUUCAUUUUCAUGGAUUUUCUGAUAGUGAUUGGGCUGGCUACGUUGAUGAUAUGAGAAGCACAUCAGGUUAUUGCUUUAGUUUUGGUUCAGGUUUUUUCUCUUAGUGCUCUAAAAAACAGGAUAUCGUGACACAAUCCACAGCUGAAGCAGAGUACAUUGCUACUGCUACUGUUGCAAAUCAAGCACUUUGGAUAAGAAAACUCCUAACAUACUUAAACAUGGAGCAAACUGGGAGCACGCAAGUCUUUGUUGACAGUCAAGCUGCAAUUUCAAUUGCAAGUAAUCCAGUAUUCCAUGGCAAGACAAAGCGCUUCAAAAUCAAGUUUUAUUUCUUAAGAGAAAUACAACAUGAUGGAGAAGUAACUUUGAUACAUUGUAAAACAAAAGUACAAAAUGCUGAUAUUCUAACAAAAGCUCUACUAAGAGCUAGGUUUGAAUUUCUCAGAAAAAGACUUGGAGUUUGUAGCUCCCAAGUCAAGGAGGAGUGUUGAGAAAAAUGCCUUAGUAGCUACAAACAUGCUGGAAGACGUGUGAAAGUUGUUUUUGAAUUGAGGAAGCUUAGGAAUCUGUUAAGAAGGCUGUUGAGGUGUGAAGAGAUGCUGAAAUUGAGGCUGCAACCAUAAAACAACUUAGUCAAUGAACCUGAUAGAGUUUCAUGGAGCUGUUAUGCUGUUGUUGCUAUUUUAUAAGAAAUAGUUGUUAGUUCCAGCUAUUUUUGCUGCUUUUCUAUUGUUUUCUGUUGCAAACUUGUGUAUAAAUGUUGCAUUUAUCAUUCAAUAAGAGUAGACAUUUUCGUUGUCUCAUAUACAACUUUUGGUUGUUGCUUCCAGCACUUCUAGAUUCUAAAAUCAACAACUAGUCAGAGGCAUGUUUCGGUAUCAUUUGGGGUAUAAAUUAAUGGAUUUCAUGUUUCACCUUUAAUUUUCUAUUUCUUAAGUAUUAUAUGCUGUGACUUGUGAUGAUGAUGACUCCUAUCUUCUUUAAUUGCUUAAUCCUUCAUGACCUAUAAGCUAAAGUACAUAGCUGUUGUGGGACAUGGAAAAAAGGCAAAAGCUGGUGUGAUCUUUGUAAUUCAUCACUAGCAAUGUUCUGGAAAAUUCCAAUUAAAGUAAUAUUUGAUCAAUUCUUGCAGAUUAGGUACCCUAGAACUAAGAGCUUGAGCAGACUUGUCUAUUGCAUAAAGAGAGUGAAGAAGCUUAACAUAACGUCCUUCAUUCCUUUUAUUCAGAAUUAGGAAAUUGAAUGAGAACGAAUCAAGUUACAGUAUUCGUCAGGAUGUCAAGAUCUUUCUAAACUUCUGACUCUGCUGAUACAAACAAUGGGAAUUCCUCCAAUGAGAGAAGCACAGGAACAUUGUCAAUUCUAAGAAAAUGAUCCUAGUUUUGAUUUCUGAAUAGGGGACAUGAGAGUGAUCUAAGUGAUCAUCCCAACAGCAACACCAUGUAUACAGAAGACCUAAGAAAGACCAAAACAAGAACAAAAUGACAUCAAAAUUAGGAAAGAAACAAAUGCAUCAAAAUCAUAACAAAGAUGUUAUAUUCUUGUAUCCUUGCCUUUCAAAUGUGACUAAUUGCUAAUCUUUCACUUUAUGCAAGCAGAAGCAUAACAAACACCAUCUCUGGUAAAAUGCUGACUGCCAAACCAAUACAGAGCAACCUCAUUCAAACAUGACCAGACUUGACCAAUUCAGUACUAGAAACAUAGAAGCCAUUGUAGUAGCGUCCUUUCCAUCUCCCUGUUUAAUACCAGUUAAGGUUUUAGGCACUGAAAAAGAAGAACCUUCCUCACUCCACCUUCCAUCCCCAACAACCUUUGAAAUAAUUUUGUUACAAAUUUAAGUAACAAAUCCUUAUUUAUUGAAAAGCAUAAGCCAAAAGAAAACACACCUGUUUCAUUUUGGUUAGGUAUAAGAUAUCACACAUUUUGACCUCAUACAAUCCACAAAAUGAUGUAAGAACAACUUGUAAUUUGCAGAUUACGAAGAGCGUCUCCUUUGUUUUACCCUCAGAAAAUGGACCAAAGCAAUUAAAAUAUUUCUCUAACCAUAAAUGUGCCCAUGUAUGCUUAUGUAAGAGAAAAUCAGAAAUCAGCCUUGCCCAUUCAAAAGGUAAUGUAAUUGAGUCAUGGAGAAUAUAUAAGUGACUUUGUUUGGUAUGAGCUACUUGGGAAGAAAUCUUUGUUCAUUCUUGAUAUCUUUGUUCUUGAUUUGUACCAAACAAACAGAGCAUAAAAUUGACUUUUUGUUAAUCUAUAAUUCUUGAAUAGAGUUGAGAAGUGUAUAAAGAUUCUUAUAAUUGUCCAUGAGUAGAGCUAUUGUGAUUGUCCAAGGGGAGUUGACCUUGGGUGUUGAAAAUUACCAAUGAAAGAGUUGAGGGCAUGUAUCUUGGGUGUUGUCUUCCGUGGGGAGUCAUUGAAGAAAGAUCAUUACCAAAUGUCUAGUGAGAACAUCAUAUUGAAAGCCUGUAGUAAAUAUUAAUAAAUUAGUCCCUAGAAUAGAAUUAGAGGCUCAUGAGUAUAUGGAAUAAGACAAGUCACUCAUUCACUACUACAAAAAUUGUAUACAAUGAUGUUCACUUUCUUGGCGCUUUUAAAAAGUGUCAACAUUUCCAACCUACAAUGGUGCUUGCUAGAAGGUUGGGUAAUAAUAGCGCUUAUUGUAUAAAUUCUUGGCGCUUUAUAAAAGCGUCCUUAAAAAAUUCACUUUUUUAUAUCUAAGACGCUUGGUAAAGUGUCAUUUGUUAACAUAUUAUAUAUACUUCUUUCUGAAAUUUCAUCACACUGCCAAACAUGUCCCCGAACAAAUCAAGUUCCCUUUCAAACCCACCAACACAUAUCGAGCUCUCUUUCACUCUGAGAAGAACUUUCGUGCUACAACCAGAUAUUGAAGACCUACCGGAGAGUGUAUUUCAUGCUGACACCCACACCAGGGGCAGUCUACUAGCAAUUUCUUUGAAACACCUAUGACAACAAAUUGCUCCAUUAUUAAAGUCCAAGAUUCUAGCAAUCGACUAGAAAUCGAACUUACAAUGAGUGGCCAGUGAGCAAAAUCAUUCCUUACAAAAUCUGUAUGAAACAAAUCCACCAUUGCCAAGCUCAUUCUCUUUUAACACAUUUUCAUGGUGAAGACUUUCAAACUUUGUCUAAGGUCAGUAAAUAUUCUCUUCUCAUCCUUUCCACUUGAAGCAUUGAAGUAUUCUUAUAGUUUCUGUCCAACCCUAAUUUCGUUUUUGCUAGCCCUAACUAUUGUUUUACAACUAAUUAAUUAAUUUAUUUUUUAUUGUUCAGCCCUAACUAUUUUACCUUAUACAUACGAUUUGGCUUGAAUAUUUAUGCCAAAGAUGACAUGUUAGGUUAAUGCUCUAAAUUUUCUCUUAUUUUUCUCUAUAUCAUAUAAAACAUCUUAGGAUUUGAAAGAAUUUUAUAGUUUUCUCAGUAUUACUUUAAAUUCUUGAAUUUCCUCUCUAAGGUUUCCUAAUUCAUUUUUUAAGAUUUCAAUAGCAGGAAUUUAAUGCCUAUUUUAACUUUUGAAGCAAGAAAAACUAACUUUGAGUGGCUGGAUUGUUAAUAUUCAGAACUGAAGUCAGACAUGAAACUGAUGUUUGAAAUUUUCAUUUGGUGCCCCAUAUGCUAUAAAGGCAGUGGUUUACAAGGUUGGUUUGUGGUUCAAUGGAAACUUCGUUGGCUUGACUUUAAUAUAUCCUGGAUAGGCAUUUUUCUGUAAGUGUGGUUAUAUUUAGAUAAGGAUUGAUUUGGUGUGAAUGGGUUCACUUCAAAAUUUGUAUAUUUUUGGCUAAACCAAACCAACCAAGCUAUAAUUUUUAUUAUAUUUUAGAACUUGGAUCACUUAAAAUCAAGAAUCUUUAAGAAGAAAAGUUUGAUACCCUGCCAAAUGAUCUUAAAUUCUAAGGAUUUAAGUAGUUAGAAAAAUAAAUGAAUCUUAAGAUGUUUAAUAUUUGAUUAAAGAUAAUGUUAGUUUAAGAAGAAAUAUAUAAUGAUAACAUGCCUUCAUCAUAUAAUUUUGUUGAGAGAAAAAAAAUAUCUACAAAAAGCUAAUAAAAGUGGGGCAGAGAAUAUUAAAAUUUGUGAAUGGAUUGACAUGAUUGGGAACAAUUCUUAGAUUAAUGGUCUUGCUGAAUACAUAAUAAUAUUGGUAGGUAGUGGAAAACAUGCACAACUUGGGUGAGAACAUUAAAUUUGGUAAUAACCCUGCAUCACAAUCCCAAGCAACUCUACAAGGCACAUUAACAAGUGGCACACACUUUGUUUACCCACAAAUCAUGAAAACAUGCUAUAAAACUUCAUUGGAAAAAUCUUUGUUUUUAAUUUUUUUAUGACUUGCGUUUAACCCACUUGAAAUUGCAAUUGUUGAGGAAUCAUGACUUAGUCCUUGUUUAUGAAUACAUUAGAACCAGUUGGUCAACUGCAAUACUUUCACAAAAUGGUUUACAUUUGCCAAGUUCUAAAGUAACAUGAUAAAUUUAAUAUUUUUUUUCCUUUGAUUGAUAAGAUAACAAAAUUUGGUUGAUGUUGUUCAUUAUUAUUUUUUAAAUAUUCUUUUCCCUCAUGGAGGCUUACAGUUGGUUAUUUUUAUUUUUAAUCUCAUUCACAUUUUGUGUUUGUGUACUUACAGUCUGAUGCAUAUUUCAUUAUAGGAAAGAAAUGAAAGUUUGUUAGCUAAGUAGAAGGUUAAAGUUGUUUUUUUUAGAACUUUGAUUUCUGGUUAUUUCAACAAUUCCUAUUCAAUAGUGUGCUUGCCUUUUUCCAAGUUGAAUUUUUCUCUUAGAAAAGCAUACUAGAAAGUUGUAAUGGUUUAAGUACAAAACCUAAGUAGAGAACCUUGCUCUUGUUUUUGUAGUUGAAGAAUCAAAUAAUAGCAGUUUCAUCAUCAAUGAGUUAUCUUACAAUAGCAAGUUGGAGAAAAGAACCAUUAGGUUUGAUUUUAGCUCUUCUACAUCUAUGGUUAGUAGGAGAGAGGUGAGCCCUCAAAAUGAUGGUUGUGAACCUUUGGAGUCUCAAAAUAUGUCUAGGCUUGAAGAUGGUUCUGAUUCUCUGUCAUUUCCUGGCCAAGUUCAAAGUGGGCUCCAAGAGUUAAGUUUCUCUGCAGCAGGGUGUUUAUCAGUUUUGAUCAGUAACCCUGGGUAGAUAGCACAUUCUGGUAACAUCUCUUUGCCAUCAGACCACUAGUACUAGUUCCUUUGCCUUCACCAUGUUAAUCACUUACAAACUAUCUUUUCUAUCAUUUCCACUGUAUUGUCAGCUAACUUCUUAUUUUAAAAACUUUUCUAUCAUUUCAUCCUAACUUAAUUAGAUGUUGUUAAGUUAGUUUAUUUUUAGGACUUUGAUAGUCCCAUGUAAUGUCAACUAACCUCUUAGUUUAAAAUUGUUUCCAUUAUUUUCAUCCUAAAAUGUUGAAUAAGCUAGCGUAUCUUAUAUGUUGCACAACUUCUCCCAAGGGAAUGGAAACAUCAUGAAUAUCACGAGGCUGUCAAAAAUUGGUACAAGCACCUCCUUGAGGUUAAGUGUAUUUUCAAGUAAGAUUUUCAUAUAGAUUUAUAAAUGUUCCUUUAUAUUUUGUUUCUUGGAGAAAAAAAAAACAAAGGAAGGUACGUGUGUUCUUUUAAACUGGUAUUUCAUUGCUUGAGAAAAAACAGAGUAGGCUUGAGAAAAAAGUUGAGGUAUUUCAUUGCCCAGUUUAUAAGUAGUAAGAGGAUUGAAAAAAGGGUGCUCACAUGAAAGUCAUAUGCUUUUCAUGACUUAAUUUAAUUCAUAAGUCUCUGGAAUGGAUUUAAAAGUACACGAGCAUAACCACUUUGUCCUAGCCAUAUAUUUGUUCUGCAAUUAUUUGGGAUAUGUUCCUAGAAAGCAUACUACAAAAAUCUAGUUUAAAAGCCAUUAAGGAAAACAUGCUUAUCCCAAUUAGCUUCAUCAUCUUUCUAUGUUUGUCUCCAUCCUUUAAAAACUAUUUAAAUAAGUGUGAUUUUAUCUUUUUAAUGUUGAUGUGCCUUGUAUAAAUAGGCCUCAACCUGUCAACACUUCUCAAUGGGAAAAUGAUAGGGUUAUAUCUAUUCGAUUUAAUCCUAAAGAACCAGAUGUCUUGGUAGCUUCCAAAUCAAUUACUAGUUUCUUUAUUUACUUAUUUCUUGAUUGUUUUGGGAUAAGAAAUGAGAAAGUUAAUUGAUAAAAUAGAAAAGCAACUAUAAGAAAAGAUAGGAAGCCUUCAAAACAAAGCAACCAAGAAUAAAUUCAAUAAAAACAUAAUACAAAGCAAACAAAGGAGCCAUCCAAAACCACUUAAGGGAGAAGAUGAUCUUCUCUAAAAUUCCCAAUAUUUGACCUCUUUUUGCCAAGAAUUCAACAUCCUAAUUGGCUUACCUAGGAAUUCAACUGUAACUUACCCCUAGAAUCUCUCUCAAGUAAUGACAUACCAUUAAGAACCCUUAUUUAUUGAGGUGGCCCAAGAAUUGACCACUAAAGAAUCUACUCUCAAUAAGCAUGUGUCUGAACCCUAUGGUUCAGGCCUCUUUGAAACUAUGCAUGCAAGAAAUUAUGAUUCAAUAGACUAAGCAUUUCUCUUUGGCUUACAUAUUUCACAAUAAUCACCAGCCCUUCACUGCUACUGUAAGGUAAAUAUUACCAGAAAACCUUUUGCAUUAGGCUUGCAGUUGUACUAAUUACUAACUGAAUCUUAAUUUUGUUGCUAAUAAACUAUAGACAUUGACCAUAUAAUUUAGGAUUACUGAUUGAACUAGCUAAGUAUUCUCCCCAUCUUGAUUAUCAUGAUUCCAAUAUAAAGGAAAUAAUUCAUAGCUCAAAUUUCCCCUUUGAAUCAAUAUGCUCUACUUCAUUUUCACACUAUAGACAGUUUUUUGAUCGAAAAAAAAACUUACCCUCUAUUUUUUUUUUUUUGACCAAAAAAAAAACUAACAUAGGAAUCCUCUAUAAUAAUAAAUAAAAAUAAAAACUUAACAACAAUAGCUGAGGGGCAUGGGAUUCCCAAAAUAAGACUAGUUUGAAACCCCUCUCACAUCAAUUUCUGCCUUUAGGCUUGCUCUGACUAUGGUAGCCUAGAUGUAUGGACUUCCCAAAACAAGACUCUGGAGCACUUGAGAACCUCUCACAUAAAUUUCUGCAUCCAACCUUACCUCACCUUGGAAUUGAGUGAAAGAACAAAACCUCAAACAGUAUCUGACUAGAGCAAAUAUUUUCACAAUGCCAAUAAGAAGAAUGCUCAUUCUUGGUAACUCAAAUUCAUAGGAGUUUGAAACUUUGAAUAUAUAUAGAUGGGAAUCCAUAUGUAUAGAUAGAUAUAGAAACACACACAAAUAUGGACAUGGAAAUGUUGAAGAAUCACUCUUUCUAAUUAAGAAAUUUACAACUACUCUAUCAUUUUACAUUAAUAGCCUCCAGACAAAAUUUUGUUAUUAAAAAAACAUGCAUUAGUUAGAGGAUUUAUACCAUUUCUUUGGCUUUUAACAACUUCUCAGUGGUGGGUGAUUCAACCAUAGUUAUGUCUCAAGUUUCUUAGAAAAUUUAGGCCCUUGGAACUGGGGCAAUUGGUCGUCCUUGUCUUCUGCUGGUUCAGUUGUAUUUUGUUGAUUCAAUUAUAUUGUUAGUUUUCUUCUUUAAGAUAUGGUCAUCCCUUACGUCCUUUUUUUAUCAUUAAUUAAUGGUUUUUGUUGUUCAUGAUCAGAAAGAGAGAAGGAAAAACAAAUAAACAUGGUUUCACACAAAUACUGUUAUGUUUCUCUUAUGGAGCAUUUUAUAUGCUAAUUUUCUUAGUUGAAACCAAAAAUUAUUUGGUAGUUUUAUCAAUUUUAACGUAUUUUCCUUUUCUAAUACAAACUCUAACAUAUAUUUUCUUGUUGCAGACAAGAACUAAUUCCAUUUCUUGGAAUCCAAUGGAACCCAUGAAUUUCACAACUGUAAGCAUAAUAAUUCAACUUAUACAUUUCUCUGUUUUUCUUUUUCCCCACUUCCUGUGGUAGUUUAUCAUUUGUAUUCAAUUUGAUGAUGCACUCUCCUCUAUAGAUGGGUUGUUGCAAUUAAGAUUCAUAAUUUUCUCUCUUUCACUUUGCAUUGCCAAGAACCAAAUGAAAGAGGAAUGAUUAGUUUUAAUAUAAUAUUGUAUUGAUUCCUUCAAAGAAAUUAAGAAUCUAGUAAAACUUUGUUUCAGGAAAUUUUUGAAAGUUCUGUUUUGGAUUUAACUCUUCUAAAUUCUAAGAGUUGUUGAUUCUUGAUGUCAUUCUUUUAAAAAAAUUUCAACCAGUCCCAAGUGAGUUGGCAGAUCAAGAGCAUAGAUAUUGUGAUGCUUUUGUCAAUGACUCAUUGUUCUAUUUUUUUUUUCUCUCCUUUGGACAAAUCGCAUGAUUUUAUUAUGAUAGCACAUAAACUAUUUUAAUUAAAGCAAAUAAUAUUAGGAUGGUACAUAGCUUAGUAAUAUUGGAUUUCAACUUCUAAUGUAAUCAAUGCCAACUGCAUUUCUUUAACAACUAAGGUGCGCAUUUACUUUAUUUUUGUUCCUUUCCUUCAAGGAGACCUAUCUUUUCUUGAAGUCUAGACUAGACAUUAAUUUGACUCUAGAUAGAGUUGAAUGACAGAAAAAAAUUUGUACAAAAGACUUCAAUUUGUUAGAGUUUAAGGCUUGUUUUGCCUAGUUUAUUUAUCUAUUUAUUUGACUAGAAUUAUCAAGUUUAUUUUUUAUCUAUAAUAUUUGUAUGCAUUGAGCCAAAGUAAGAUUCAUGGAUAUUGUUUCGCUGGUCCAAUGAUGAGUACACAUCCUUGCCAUCUUUUAUACGAGACUUGUUUUAAAUAAGUCCGUUUUUUAAUGAAGAUGGAUAAUGUUGUUAGAGGGGUAAGAUGUCGAAGCCCGUUGCUGUCCAAAGACUUGAGAUUCGGAAGAUUAGAUAUGUGAAGAGAGGUAAGUGUGGAGGGCAGUAGGGACUCAUUGGGAAAUGAUUCCAUGUCUUGGCAUCCAUCAUUGAUUGUGAAUUUUGUAAGAGAGGCCAGUCUUUGCAAACCCCAGUCCACCUGAGAUGUGAGUUGGUUGCAGGAUAAAAUUGCAACUUCACGCAGGUCGGAGGGCAAACCAUCUCUCUGAAACAACAAUUCUGGACAAUCUAUUAACCUCAAUUCCUGCAACGAUGAGUGUGUGUGCGCCAGCAACUUCAGCUUCCUGCAACUGGAGAUCUUAUAGCGUGCAGACUCCAGAGCAGGCAAUUCAAUAUAUUCAAGAUCAGGGUACUCUUUGAUUUCCAAACUAUUUAGAGACGUGGGAUCCCCCUCUGAAACGGAGAUGGAGAGGAAUUCAAGCCCUUCGAAAUUAGAGAUGUAGAGAUUGUUCAACCGUGGAAAGAUGCUUAAUGAGAAAGAUAAUGAGAAAUAAUUACGGCUGCUAACAGCAAGAAUAGAUAAAUGUUCAAGGAAUGGAUACGGCAUUCCUUGGUACACUCCCGUUUGGUACACUCCCAGAUAAUUAGUGACUUCAAUGUAGUGGGUAAACCAACACUGUGCAAGGGUCUGGAGAAACGACAACUUGUGAUGCGCAAAAGUUGGAGAAGACAAGUGCUUCUUCGUAGCAUUCCCUCCUCCAAUACCCACUCUAUCGAAUCACAUUCUCUGAUUGUUAGCAUCUGUAUUCGUGGUGGCAGUUCUUCAAAUUGAGAGAUGUCUGAAAUUUCAAUUUCUGAAGUUUCGAGAUCAGUGAACCCACAAGCUGGCCUUUUCAACCGAAAUUUACCAUGAUACGACAUUUUCCAUCCACGGAUUUGAGGAGCUUGGAGGGAGCCAACAAGCAACUCACAACCAAUUAUUACAAGUUUCUUCAAUGAACGAAGCUGUUUUGGUAAUUUCCCAGUGAGUUUGGGACAUUCAUUUAUACAAAGCUCCUGAAGACGAGGGAAUUCUCCACGUCUGCAUCCACAACAUAACCAUUUCUCCCAGUUGUACAUCUUCCCGAAUCUUAGAGUUUGUAGGGACGGGAAGGAGGGCUUAAUUGUGUUGGAGGAAGAAGCAUUUCCCAUAAAAUUCAUUACCCACCAUUUUAACUCCUUUCAUUUCUAAGAUAGAAAGAUGUUUAAGAGAGGGUAGCUGUCCGAGUGGUGGCAAUGACGAGCAAUUAUUACAAUUCUGAAGCCCCAGGUCAACAAGAUUGAAGAAUGAAGGAUCCUACCCAAUCUGGAAGGCUUAAACCACUAAAAGAAUUAAUAUGGAGUCUCUUGAGGUUUGUAUGUGGCUGUAAGCUGCUGAGUAUAUCCAUUCUACUUUGCACAACACCACCAACAUCAGUGUUCUCAUAAUCCAUACUCAAACUCCAACUCAUCAAGGUACUUUUUAUCCUUCAUAUUAGCUUCUAAUGCAUCCCUAUCACAUACAACAUUCUGCAGCUUUGAAAUGACAAGACUUCCCGAAAGCUCCCUCAAUGCUCCCAAUCUUAACCCACCAUUUUGGCCCACAAUAAAUGUAGAAAGUGAUUGUAAAUUCUUUAGCUUACAUAUAUCACUUGUCAUCUCUUUCACCAAAGUUUAACGAAUAUCAAGGUAACGCAAAUUAAUCAAUUUUUCCAUCCUUGAGGGUAAUUCAACAAGACAAUGACAUCCCAAUAACAUCAAUGUUUGUAAAUUGUAUAAAUUACAAACCGAUUCAGACAACAUUUGAAUCCUUGUCAUAGAGAGAUCUAGGUAGCGCAAGUGUUUCAACUUCUCAAUUGAAUGAAGCAAAUCAGUAAUCCAAUAAUAAUUCAAGCACAACACUCGUAAACAUUUCAUUUCCGGCAAUAGAUGGUGUAGAACUCUAUUACUUAAGUAAUGAAGUGAAAAGUAUCGAUAUUUGUUUCUUGGUAAAAAUGUUCGGAGACACUUAAUUUGAGAAAGUGGAUCAAAUCUCUUAUAGACAUCAUAUUUAGUAAUCAAAUAUGAUAAAUGACGAGUUUUCUCCAAGACUCUGUAUAUCUUACCAUCCUCCAAAGAAGUAGAAAAUUCUCCGGAUACCAAUUGUGCCAAGUCAUUAACGAGGUCGUGCAUUACAAAAACAUGACUUAUUUCUUAUUGAAUUUUGGAAAAAUGACUUUGAUAGAAGUUCUUGAAAGUACAAAUUACCUACCUCUUCCAUUCUUUUCUUGUUUUUUGAUUGUUCCAACAAACCUUCUGUCAUCCAUAACAAAACUAGCUUCUCCUUUUUGAAUUUGUAGUCUUUUGGAAAGAUUGAACAAUAAGAAAAACAACGUUUUAGAUGUGAAGGAAGGUAAUAAUAACUCAACCUCAGAGCAGGAAGAACAGCAUCUGUGGGUAAAUCCCAUAAUUCACUAUUUAAUACAUCAUCCCAUUCUCUUGCUUCAACCUUGGAGUGUUGGAGACUCCCCAUUGCUUUUAUAGCCAGCGGUAGACCUUGGCACUUGUGGACAAUCUUUUCUCCGAUUGCUUCUAGUUGUGGAUGCCCACUUGAGUUUCCAUUUUCAAAUGCAAGUUUUUUGAACAGGGACCAACCAUCUUCAGAGGAUAACCCACCUAAACAACGAGUAUGGACUGCACGCAUGGCAAAUGCAACAUUGGUGCUUCGCGUAGUUACAAUAAUCUUGCUUCCCUUUGCCCCGACUAUGAGUGGAGUUUGUAGUGUAUCCCAGUCACAAGAGUCUUCGUUCCAAACAUCAUCCAGUACAAGUAAAAAAUUCUUCAUAUUAAUUCUUUCCUUCAGUUGAACCUGAAGUAGAUUUAGAUCAGUGGUAUUGGACGUGGAUGAAUUGAUUGCCUCGAGAAUUGUUUUCUUAACUCUGAUAGGAUCAAAUUCUUCGGAAACACAAACCCAUGCCUUGAUUUCGAAGUGUUCCUUCACCCUUUGGUCAUUGUAGAGCAGCUGGGCAAGUGUGGUUUUUCCCGUGCCACCCAUGCCGACUAUGGAGAUCACACCCAUCGCAUCAGUACUCCUUGCAUUAUCAGACAGCAACAGUUGAACCAUCUCCUCCUUAAUUUGAGCCCUGCCAUAGACAAGAGAUUCAUCUCCCAAAGAAGUAGAAGGCCACCUUUGUGCCAAUUUCUCACCAACGCCUUCUUUCAACCCGAGGACGUCUCUGUCUUGUGCGAUAUCGUCUAGUCUACCAAUGAUCUCCUCCACCCUAGAGUUUAUGCUUUGAAUAUCAAGUGGAGGAUGAACCCAGGUAGACAUGCUGGUCAGGGUGUCCGCAGCUUCUAUCUUGCAUCGUAGAUCUUCAGUGGCGAUCUCAUCCAAUACAUCCUCAGCAUCAUAGACAACAACUUUGAGCUCAUGCAUCCACUCUUUGACUGCUGGGUUUGUAAUUUGCUUGGCCUCCGCAUCAUUGAGCACAGCAUGGACAGUCGCAGUUUCCUCUUCAACUUCUUGAGGAGUGCAUCAUCGAGCUCGUGUCCCCUGAUGAAUUUCACCACCUCGCGAGAAGCCAACCUGUCAAAUAGAACUUGUAGAGAAGCUGAGAGAAAAGCACCUCCAACCAAAGCCGCAGCCAUGUCUGUUUCUUUGCAAAGGAAGUGAAAGGCGAAUGAGGGAAAAUGAAGGUAAGCAGAUCCAAAAUGGAACCCCCAAACCAGAAAAAGAACAAUUCAGUUGUGUAUUAAGAUCUUUUUUGGCUUUUUUAUCCUCAUAUUCUUUAUGGAUGGGGACUUGUUCCUAAACAUUUGAAGUGAACUGAUCCAUUUUUUACCAUAAUCCUUUGAAUUAAUGAUUCAUCAUGGUAGAGGUCUAGAUGGUUUCUUGAGGUGUGCUCUUUCUUUGUUAAUCUGGGGUUCUAUUUUAUCUUGUGGCAAAAUAAAACAGAUGUGUCCAACCAGUUCGGAAUUAUUUUAAUAUGACUAUCAAAUCUGUGGAUGUGCAAAAGCAUAACCAGGCUCUCCGAGUUCUUUGCCUGGAGGGUUUGCAUUUGUGCUAAACAAAAUGAUUUUUCAUAUCCCCCUAUAAUUGAUGAUCUGUUGGGAUUUGCAUAAUGUUUUGAUAGGCAAAUUAGAUAUAUGUGAAUGAGCGACCUAUCAAAUAGGGCAGUAGGGACGUAAAAUAUUGUGAUUCGAUCAAUCAUGCCUACCUUCAUAGAUACAAGAUAACAUUUCACUAUAUGAUAGAAAAUAUUAUAGAUGAUAUAAAUAAUUACAACUAUUGGAUUUCAAAAUAUUUUACGUUUCCCCACUCUUUGUAUUUUCAUCCUAAAUCAUGAGCUAUUUCACUCCAUCCGGUGUCUCCCACUUUUUCUCGUAUCUACACUCUAAACCGUAAGUCCUCUUACUCUAUCAAAUGUCUCUUACUCCUUUUCACAUCUCUAUCCAUGAUAUAUAAUCUUUGCAAACUUACUUCUAUCAUAUCUCUUCUCAUAAAUUUUUUUAACUUGAUCAUAGCCUAGAAUAUUUAGAGAGAUGCUCCUAUUUGCUUUACUUAUUCUAUAAAGAAUCUAAUUACAAUCACAUAUCAACUUAGGAAAUAUUUUAUAUAAUAUUCCUCUUUGACUGCUGGAUUUGUAAUUUGCUUCGCCUUGGCAUCAAUGAGCAUGACAUGGACAGAUAAUAGUUUUCUCUUCAACUUCUUGAGGAGUGCAUGAUUGAGCUUGUGCACCGUGAUGAAGUUGAGCAACUUGCGAGAAGCCAAGCUAUGAAAUAGAACUUGGAGAGAAGCUUAGCGAAAAGCACCUCCAACCAAAGCCCCAUCCAUGUCUGUUUCUCUGGCAAAAGGAAGUGAAAGAUGAAUCGAGGGAAGAAAAUAAGCACACCCAAGAUGAAACCUCCAAACCAGAAAAGAUCGGUUCAGGUGAAGUUUCCAAUGGUUGAAUGAAUUAUUGGACACCGUGGUAGAGCCCAGACUUCUGCAUUGUUGACAAAACAUCACAGUUCAGUGGUCCAUGAAAUGAAUACAAGGGAGAAAGAAAGAAAGAGAAAGGGGAUGUAAACAAAAGUCAGACAUGCAUAUGUGAACUUACAAAUCCUAUAUCCUUUUAUUAAUAAAACAGUUGAAAAUUUUACCAUAUUUAUAUUAAAUCAUGAUAAGAAUAAAAUGUAAAUUUAUUAAUAUUUUUAUUUUAUUAGUUCGUAAAUUAUAAUAUUUAAUUAUUAAAAAAUAUAUUAUAUGUCAAGAAAAGAAUAAGAUUUAAAAAAAAAAUUACAUGAAUAUUCAAUAUAUUCAUUUAAAAUAAUUAGUGUUAUUAAAAAAACCAUGUUUCAGGGUGAACCUAACCUAUUUUUAAUUUUUCUUUCUAGAAAAGCAUGUUUUUACACAUAAAUUCCAAAGCCAGACAACGACGUGUCUUUGAAUUUUCAAAUAAUUGGGAUCCACUGCUUUCAAUGUUUGAGAAAAUAAUAACAAAAGAUGGAGCUGCCACUUCUAAUGUCUGAGGGUAAAACAUGGAAUCGACUGCUACUUUCACAUUAAAGGGGAAAGCAAAUGGGGGCAUCGUACAUCUAAGAUCUUGUUGAAUAGUAAUCUAAAUUGUCUAUCACUCCAAAGCCGCACAUGAUGGAGGGUAUUAAAAGCAUAAUAUGCAUAUUAAAUUUAAAUCAUAAAAGUUUAAACUUUUAGAAAAAUUGGUUGUUUAACAAGGUCGAUAGCUCAAGUGGUUCUCUGUCAAUUUAAAUGAUGAGAUUGUUCAAUUUUUCAAUGGUAGGAUGAUUAGUUAAUAGUCCAAGAAGUUGAAUUGUCCAAUUGGAUUCUAUUUUCAAAACCUUGACUAUUAAGCAAUCACAUGCAAUUUCUAGAUAGAUUGUGAUUCUUGUAUUAAAGUACAAUAGAAUUGUUAGUGCAUAAAAAAUUUUUAUAUGUAGAUAUUAUCGAACAUUUUCUAACAUUUUCAAAAGUUAUUUUAAGGGAUAAAAUUCUAUUUGAAAAUGAAAAUAUGAAAAAUAGUUUUAUUGGUUUAUUUUUCAUAAAAGUACUAUAAUUCCAAAAGUUUUCAAAGUAUUUUACAUCUUUUCGAUUGUUACUCACAAUUCAAGCAUGCAUAAAAAAUAACUAAAAACAUCUUAAAUUUGUUAUAAAAACUUAUGUUUAGAAUAAAUUCUCAAAAAAAUAUUUUUUUUUCAACAAAAAAAGCUUUAUGAAAAUAAAAAGCUAUUUUCAAGAACCAUUACCAAGCAAGCCUAUGUUGCUGUGGAUGCUUUGGACAAAAUAAGAAAAAAAAGAAAAAAAGGUUUUUUUUUUAAUACUAUUUGAAAUCAUAAAAAGACCAUAACCUUGCAUACAAUAUAUGGGUCAAGGCCUUCUAAAAUAAAUAAUUUAUUUUUAUUUGGUCAUUCAUCACCAUUUUCAUUGAUUGAAAUUAUUUCGUAGACUUGGUUGUUGACUUGGGAAUUCACAUCAACCCAUAUGGACCUCAUAUUCACCUACCAGAGAUGAAUGAAAAUAAAGGCCAAAUAUGAAAGGCAAGUGGUGGUGGUAGGAAGACUCUUAUCAAUAACUUAUAUCAGGUACCGGAGCUUAGGGCAACUGUAGACCAAUGUCAUCCUGAAUCCUAUCAAUCCUUGUUACUGACUGUUGGGGUUGUCACUUAAGAAAAUAUCAAUCAAAUGAUGCAUUCGCAAAUCUAAGUCUCCAACAAGGUUCAAAUUAUUAUUAACAUCACAACCAUUAUUAAACCCAUGUGCAAGCAAGAAGGCUGCUCGUGCGGCUAGGCGUUCACAGGGUUAGCCCAAUUUGUUGAAUCUAUAGUUUAACAUACAGACAUUCGUUUCACAUCAUUUGAUGGCCCUUUAUAGAUUAUCUAUAAAUUCAGAGUACUUAGGAUUUGAAGGCCGCGAAGGGAAAAAGGAUAGUGAUAAAGAACGAACCAUUGUUGGACCUUGAGAAAUAUUUUGUGGGCACACUGUUCCAUCAUUUGGCCUCAACCAAAAUCUUCAACAUGUCAAAGCCAUGUUGUACAAAAUUCCUUACGGGUUAAUAUUUGUCGACACACUUCUGCCAUGAAUAUAUAAGCUGAUGGUAUUAGAGCUCUCCACAUUAUUGAGACAAAUGGGCUCCUGCCUUGAAACAGUUGAAUUUUCCAAGAAAAUGAAAAUUUAUCCUAGUCAAGUUCCAAUGACCCAUCCUUAUAUUUGCUUGCUCAUUUUUCCAUUUUUGCAGUUUAUUCUUUUUCUCCUUAAUUUUCUAAGCACUAAUGGAUGCUAAUCUCAAAUAACGUAAAUGCAGCAUUCUUGUUUGCCAGACAAAUCCUCAUGAGUGAGCUAGCACUAGCCAACCCUGUGGAUAUGGAAAACAUUGUAGUUAGGUGUGGCGAACAAGUCUUAGAGCUCCUGGACCGUUCUGAUGAGGCAGGAAUUGAAGAAAUUGUUGAAAAUUUUCAAGAGAUGGUGAGGAAGCCUCCAACAGCAACAAGCUUCAAGCAAGGAAAGCAGUUAUGAGCAGGAUGUUGGUGAAGAGCCUGCACCCAUGCUUGAGAGAGUACCCCAUCUUGUUUAUUUGGCGGCCAAGAGGAGUGGUGCUUGCAGGGAAUGGCCCUCAAGGAAGAAAAUUAGCAGAAAUGGCACUAUGGCGGAUGGGAGCUGUUGAUCAGACUGAUAUCUUCUUACCGGGUUUCAUUUUCAUUAAAUUAAAUAAAAUGGGGGUAAUUCAUAAUCAUCCGGUUAAGAUUGAUCUAAACCAGUGCCUUUAUCCUUUUUUUAGGUUCAUUAGGGUUCUGAAUUGAAGUAAUAAUAUUAUUGAAUCAUCAGAACUAUUUCGAUAUUUCUUUUUUGGUUCCUAUACAUGGCAUCUUUGUGAAUCCAUACGACUUUCGUUCUUCCCCAUUUCUUUGUUCCGAACCAUUCGUUUCUUUGAAUUCUUCGCUCUUUUUCUUGAUUUCAUCCCUUUUCUAUAUUCAUUCAAUUCAUAGUCAUAGACGAAACGGAAGGACUUCUAUUAGAAAAGUGGUGGCAGCUACUAUAAUAUUAGUGGCAGCAGCCCCAUGGUGUCAGUUAAUUUUCAUGGGCAAUGGUAUACAUAUCUGACUGAUAACAUGUGAUUGGUUUGACCUGAAGAAGAAUGAAGUUAAUUAUAGGGUGGAAAGAAGAAAAUAAUGAACACACCUGUACAUAGUAGUGGCUGUACAUUUAGGAUAUAAAUUAUUGCAGUGUAUGAAGAUAUUAGGAGUUACUAGAUGCAAAGUUGGUUAGAACUAUUGUGAUUGUUCAUAUAUCAAGAUGGUCUGUGUCUUUGCCACUGUCUUCCAAGGGGAGAACCAUGGGGUACUGUUUCAUUGGGAAGAAAGAUCAUUUCCAAAUUUCUAGUGAGAAAAUCAAAUUGAAAGCCUGCAGUGAAUAUCAAUAAAUUGGUCCAUGGAAGAGAAUUUGAGGCUCAUGAGUAUAUAACAAGAGGACAAGUCACUUAUUAUACCUGGAGUGCUGCCUGGCACCAUUUCUUAUGACCAUAGGCAACAACUUUAAAGUUAAUUUGUGUAUAAGGACAUUUGAGACCAAUCUUAAUAUUAAAGAACAAGAUGUUGAACAUCAACAUCUGUCAAGGAUCGGAGUUCAGGGCAAGUAGAUAUGUCCUUAAAGGAUCAGUUAGAUUUCAAUCACAACUGACCUGAAAUUGGCUAGAUCAACACAUAUUUAGAGGUGCUUUGACUUCUUCUAUGUCCCUGCCUUAUAGGGAAGAAAAUAUUUAAAAAUCCACAUAAUCAUUGGUAAGUACAAGAAGACAUUCAACAGACAAAGAUUUUGAAUUUGAGGAACCAAUCUGUCUCUAGAAAAGUAAGGGGAGAAAAAACACUGAUAAACAAAUUUUACAUACCCUUUCCAGAGCAACAAAUCCCCUAAGUUGUAAGUUGAAUCCCACCAACCAGAAAAUCCCCUUGUUCGUCCACUUUAAAGAUCUAGCACGUACACACAUCAAGACUAUUAUAAGAUGCUAGUUUCCCAACAGUUUUUUGUAUCAUGAAGCUCUGAACCAUCUCAACCAAAAGGAUAUUCAUCAAUCUAAGGACAUCCAUCAAUCUAAUAGUUCAUCAUUAUUUGCAAAACACAGCUUUGCAUGAAACAAUGACACCAAACAAUAAAGAGAAAAGGACUACUGAGUCAGACAUCUGUUUUCCAUUGGAGGGGGUGCCUGACUCAAGAAGAUGGAGUUAAAGCGUGAUUGGAAUUGGAAAGGUCAUAACCACCUGAAAGAAAAUAAUCACGAAGACAUGGACAGAUGCACAUAAAAUGUGUGUAUCCAUCAACAAAUGGUUAAUUGAAAGGAAGACAUUAUUUUAAAACCAAAAGAAUUUUGGGUUUCUUAGCUUUGGUAGUAGCAUACCCGCCAUCUUCUUGUUUAAUACAAAUCAUGUUCCUAGCACUAAAACAGGAGCAUCUUCAGGCGCCUUUGCAGAAGCUUUCAGCACCAGUUAAUGAAGGUGACUCAUGAGGGAUGAUCAAAGGGCUGGCUGAGAUAUCUGAAACAGAAGACAUGUUUAUUAUUUGUCUGUGAAUAACUAGUCAGAGGCAUGUUUCGGUAUCAUUUGGGGUAUAAGUGAAUGGAUUUCAUUUUUCACCUUUAAUUUUCUAUUUCUUAUUUAUUAUAUGCUGUGACUUGUGAUGAUGAUGACUCCUAUUGUCUUUAAUUGCUUAAUCCUUCAUGACCCAUAAGCAAAAGUACAUAGUUAUUGCGGGACAAGGAAACAAGGAAAAAGAUGGUGUGAUCCCUGUAAUUCAUCACUAACAGAGUUCUGGAAAUUCCAAUUCAAGUAAUAUUUGAUCAUAUCUUGCAUAUUAGGUACUCUAACUAAGAACUUCAAUGAGAGCCAAGACUUCCUCCAAUGAGAAGAACAGGAACAUUGUCAAUUCUAAGAAAAGGAUCCUGUUUUUGAGUGGGGUACAUGACAGUGAUCUAAGUGAUCAUCCCAACAGCAACACAACGUAUACAGAAGACAUAAGAAAAACCAAAACAAGAACAAAAUGAAAUCAAAAUUAGGAAAGAAAUAAAUGCAGUAAAAUCAUAACAAAGAUGCUAUAUUCCUGUAUCCUUGCCUUUCAAAUGUGGCUAACUGCUGAUCUCUCCCUUUAUGCAAGCAGAAGCACAGUAAACACCAUCUCUGGUAAAAUGCUGACUGCAAAACCAAAACAGAGCAACCUCAGUCAAACAUGACCUAACUUAACCAAUUAAACACCAUCUUCUACUUUCCAUCUCCCUGUUCAAUACCAGUUAAGCUCUCAGGCACUAAAAGAGCAGCAUCUUCCUCACUCCACCUUCCAUCCCCAACAACCUUUGAAAUAAUUUUAUUACAAAUUAAAGCAACAAAUGCCUUAGUUAUCGAAAAGUAUAAGCCCAAAGAAAACAUACCUGUUACUUUCUGGUGGGUAUAAGAUAUCACACAUUUCAGCCUCAUACAACCUACAAAGUGAUGUAAGAACAACUUGUAAUUUGCAGAUUACAAAGAGAGUCUCCCCUGUUGUACCCUCAGAAAAUGGACCAAAGAAAUUAAAAUAUUUCUCUAACCAUAAAUUAGCUAAAAAAAAUGCACCCAUGCACCAGAUGUCACACACAACUGACCUGAACUUGGCAAGAUUGAAAUGGAAUAGUUCCCAAUGACCAGAAUUAAGAGGUGCUUUGAAGUCUUUCUUCUACAAAUACAAGAAGACCUCAAUAUGUUGUAUCAUGACAAUGUACGAGUGAAGGAAGGGGGCACAGUAGAAGAUGGUGGCAUCAAGUCAAAGGAUGAAAUUUGAGUUUGAGGCACUGGGCCAUUCCAGAUCAACACAAAUUGGACUUAAAAUAGAGACCAAAAGAAAUUGAAUGAUAGGCUUUUUGGAGGGAUCCCUUAUUCUAAUUUCAUAAAUUCUUAUAUUCUAAUUCUGUUUCAAAAUCAGAAAUGUAAAAUAAAUUCAUUUAAAUUAUUUAUAGUCACUUGAUAUAUUUCUCCUUAUCAAAACAAAAAUGUGUUUCUCAUAAGAAAUCUUUCAUGUUCUUCCUAGAUACUUAAUAUGAGACGGGAGAGGAGAAACGGUGAUUAACUUGAUAUGGAAGGGAGAAAAGAUACAAUAUCUUGAUUCUAAUUCAACUCCUUUGAAAAAAUAACUUGCAAAAGGCUCCAAAUAAACACCCAUAUAAUUCUAAAUUGUUUUCAUGCAAUGGUUAGAUCUAGAGUGUAUUUGUGAUGCAGGUAAAAUUCCAAGCACAUUUGACCAGAGAUACAAAUAGGCAAUACCUAAGGUAUUUGAAGAUGUACUAGUGUUUAAAUCACUGAUAUUCCAAAGCAAAUACAUAAACCUGCAAAACCUUUUUAGUCUUAAUAUUCAUGUAACUUAGAGGCCAAACAAGGUUAAUAAUGUCAUCAAAUUAAAUCUUUGGUAAUGGUACCUUUUUGUUAGGCAUUGCCUUACAAUAUGGAAAUGUUGCAAUUGUCCUUACAAAAUUGGCCUUUUAAGCGAAAAAUACACCAGCCUCAUAGCACCUGUAGAAUGAUGUGUAAAUGAUUGUAAGUAUGGCAGAAAGUUAAAUCUCCAUUUUUAAGGAUGGAAAAGGGAUCAACAAGUACAAAUCUAAAGUAGGCCACAAAAAAGAAAUAAAGAAAUUAAAAUGUUUAACUGACCAUAAACUACCAGAAAUUCCUCCAUGUUUGCCUGUAUCACAGAAAUAUAUGGAUAAAUUCAGGAAUCACCUCUGCCCAUUAUAAAGGUAAAUUGACCAAGCCAUUGAAAUAUUUCACUCAUCUAUGUUAAAAUGCAAGCACCUAUUGUCAGUCUUCCUCCACACCUCUUCACUUCUUUGUUUUCAGGCUUGUAGCAUAAGAGAAAAUAUCUGAAGUCAAAGGGCAGAAUUCUGCACCCUCAAAUCUCCAACAACAGGGCAGGAAAUAUUGACGCAGGGCAUAUUGUAAAUUUCCAAUGGAAUAGUCUCAGAUGUGUGUGUUUGCUUCUGCCUUUCCAGGGGGAGACUCAUGAAAUAUUGUUUGAUUGGAAAGAUCAUAGUCAUAUAUCAAGAACACAAGUCUCUGAUACGUGGAGGGCUACUUGGCACCUUGUCUGUCUCACCAUAGGCAAUGGAAUCUUACAAGUUUGUGUAUAAGGAGACUUGUGUUAACCUGAGAAACAUCAAUAUGUUACCACAAUAGAAAUGAUUAGAAAUUCAGACGCACAAGUUUGGCUACUUUAAUAAAUUGGCACGUCAGUGUUUCUUUUUUUUUUGGAGUGUAGGACAAGUACCUGACUGACUGUAUGGCACACCCAAGUCUUAAUGUAUGUGGAAUCACCACCUUCAUUAGUCACUAGUAUAGCACACGAUCUAUUACUAUGCGUGGAAUGUGAGCUAUAUAUUCCCAAUCUUGGCCUUUCUCAAAUUGGCACCUAUGCCUCAACAAAGGACAACUCUGGAUUUCCAGGAAAGAGAGCGAGUUUGGCAGUCUCUCGUUUGUCAAGUAUUGGAGAUUAUGGUAGCGGGAGAUAGACAAUGCUUUAAGAGAGGUGAGGUGUUGAAGACCUACUUCUCUCAAGGAUUCAAGCAUAGGGAGUGAGUACAUCUGUAAAUUUUCAAGAGAGGUAAGAUGUUGAAGCCCCUCUUCUCCGAAGGAUUGGAACUUAGGGCACUUGGAGAUGUAUAAUGUUGAUAGAGAGGUAAGAUGUCGAAGCCCGUUGCUGUCCAGAGACUUGAGAUUUGGAAGAUUAGAUAUGUAAAGAGAGGUAAGUGUGGAGGGCAGUAGGGACUCAUUGGGAAAUGAUUCCAUGUCUCGGCAUCCAUCAUUGAUUGUGAAUAUUGUAAGAGAGGCCAGUCUUUGCAAACCCCAAUCCACCUGAGAUGUGAGUUGGUUGCAGGAUGAAAUUUCAAGAUCACGUAGGUCGGAGGGCAAACCAUCUCUCUGAAACAACAAUUCUGGACAAUCUAUUAACCGCAAUUCCUGCAACGAUGAGUGUGUAUGCGCCAGCAACUUCAGCUUCCUACAUCUGGAGAUCUCAUAGCGUGCAGACUCGAGAGCGGGCAAUUCAAUAUAUAUCAGAUCAGGACAGUCUUCGAUAGUUAAAUAAUUAAGAGACGUGGGAUCCCUCUCAGAAACGGAGAUGGAGAGGAAUUCAAACCCUUCAAAAUCAGAGAUGUUGAGACUGUUCAACCGUGGGAAGAUGCUUAAUGAGAAAGAUAAUGAGAAAGAAUUACAGCUGCUAACAUCAGAAAUGGAUAAACGUUUAAGGAAUGGAUGGUGAGAUCUCAAUAGCGCAUGCAGGAGAAACUCCAGUUUGGUACACUUACAGAUAUGGAGUGACUUCAAUGUAGUGGGCAAACCAACACUGUGCAAGGGUCUGGAGAAACGACAACUUGUGAUGUGCAAAUGUUGGAGAAGACAUGUGCUUCUUUGUAGCAUCCCCUCCUCCAAUACCCACUCUAUCGAAUCACAUUCUCUGAUUGUUAGUAUCUGUAUUCGUGGUGGCAGUUCCUCCCAUUGAGAGAUGUGUGAAAUUUCAAUUUCUGAAGUCUGGAGAUUAGUGAACCCACAAGCUGUCCUUUUCAACCGAAAUUUACCAUGAUACGACAUUUUCCAUUCACGGAUUCGAGGAGCUCGGAGGGAGCCCAAAAGCAACUCACAAUCAAUGAUUUCAAGUUUCUUCAAUGAACGAAGCUGUUUUGGUAAUUUCCCAAUGAGUUUGGGACAUUCAUUUAUACAAAGCUUCUGAAGACGAGGGAAUUCUCCACGUCUGCAUCCACAACAUAACCAUUUCUCCCAGUUGUACAUCCUCUCGAACCUUAGAGUUUGUAGGGACGGGAAGGAGGGCUUAAUUGUGUUGGAGGAAGAAGCAUUCCCAUAAAAUUCACUACCCACCAUUUUAACUCCUUUCAUUUGUAAGAUAGAAAGAUGUUUAAGAGAGGGUAGCUGCCCGAGUGGUGGCAAUGACGAGCAAUUGUUACAAUUCUGAAGCCCCAGGUCAACAAGAUUGAAGAAUGAAGGAUCUCCUACCCAAACUGGAAAGCUUAAACCACUAAAAGAAUUAAUAUGGAGUCUCUUGACGUUUGUAUGUGGCUGUAAGCUGCUGAGUAUAUCCCUUCUAUUUUGCACAACACCAACAUCAGUGUUCUCAUUAUCCCACUCAAACUUCAACUCAUCAAGGUACUUUUUAUCCUUCAUAUUGGCUUCUAAUGCAUCCUCAUCACAUGCUACAUUCUCUAGCUUUGAAAGGACAAGACUUCCUGAAAGUUCCCUCAAUGCUCCCAAACUUAACCCACCAUUUUGGCCCACAAUAAAUGUAGAAAGGGAUUGUAAAUUCUUUAGCUUACAUAUAUCACUUGGCAUCUCUUUCACCCCGGUACCAAUAAUAUCAAGGUAACGCAAAUUAAUCAAUUUUUCCAUCCUUAAAGGUAAUUCAAUGAGAAGCACACAAUUUGAUAACAUCAUUGUUUGUAAAUUGUAUAAAUUACAAACUGAUUUAGGCAACUUUUGAAUCAUUGUCGUAGAGAGAUCCAAGUAGCGCAAGUGUUUCAACUUCUCAAUCGAAUGAGGCAAAUCAGUAAUACGAUAAUUAUUCAAACACAACACUCGUAAACAUUUCAUUUCCGGCAAUAGAUGGUGUAGAACUCUAUUACUUAAGUAUUGAUAUGCAAGGUGCCAAUAUUCGCCUCUUGCUAAAAAUGUUCGGAGAUACUUAAUUUGAGAAAGUGGGUCAAAUCUCUCAUAUACAUCAUAUGGACUAAUCAAAUACGAUAAAUGAUGAGUCUUCUCUGAGACUUUGUCCAUCUUACCAUCCUCCAAAGAAAUAGAAAAUUCUCCGGAUACCAAUUGUGCCAAGUCCUUAACAAGGUCAUGCAUUACAAAACAUGACUCAUUGCUAAUUGAAUUUUGAAAAAAUGACUUUGAUAAAAGUUCUUGAAAGUACAAAUUGCCUACCUCCUCCAUUCUUUUCUUGCUUUUUGAUUGUUCCAACAAACCUUCUGCCAUCCAUAACAAAACAAGCUUCUUCUUUUUGAAUUCGUAGUUUUUGGGAAAGAUUGAACAAUAAGAAAAACAACAUUUUAGAUGUGAAGGCAGGUAAUAAUAACUCAACCUCAGAGCAGGAAGAACCGCAUCUGUGGGCAAAUCCCAUAAUUCACUGUUUAAUACAUCAUCCCAUUCUCUUGCUUCAACCUUGGAGUGUAAGAGACUCCCCAUUGCUUUUAUAGCCAGCGGUAGACCUUGGCACUUGUGGACAAUCUUUUCUCCGAUUGCUUCUAGUUGUGGAUGCCCACUUGAGUCUCCAUUUUCAAAUGCAAGUUUUUUGAACAGGGACCAACCAUCUUCAAAGGAUAACCCACCUAAACAAUGAGUAUGGACUGCACGCAUGGCAGAUGCAACCUUGGUGCUUCGCGUAGUUACAAUAAUCUUGCUUCCCUUUGCCCCGACUAUGAGUGGAGUUCGUAGCGCAUCCCAGUCACAAGAGUCUUCGUUCCAAACAUCAUCUAGGACAAGUAGAGAUUUCUUCAUAUUAAUUCUCUCCUUCAGUUGAACCUGAAGUAGAUUUAGAUCAGUGGUAUUGGACGUGGAUGAAUUGAUUGCCUCGAGAAUUGUUUUCGUAACUCUGAUAGGAUCAAAUUCUUCGGAAACACAAACCCAUGCCUUGAGAUCGAAGUGUUUCUUCACCCUUUGGUCAUUGUAGAGCAGCUGGGCAAGUGUGGUUUUGCCUGUGCCACCCAUGCCGACUAUGGAGAUCACACCCAUGGCAUCAGUACUCCUUGCAUUAUCAGACAGCAACAGUUGAACCAUCUUCUCCUUAAUUUGAUCCCUGCCAUAGACAAGAGAUUCAUCUACCAAAGAAGUAGAAGGCCACCUUUGUGCCAAUUUCUCACCAACGCCUUCUUUCAACCCGAGGACGUCUCUGUCUCGUGCCAUAUCUUCUAGUCUAUCAAUGAUCUCCUCCACCCUAGACUCUAUGCCCCGACCAUCAAAUGGAGCGAGAACCCACGUUGACAUGUCCAUGAUGUUACCCACCUGACUUGUGCUGGUUUGGGACUCCGCAGCCUCCACCUUGUGUCGCAAAGCCUCUGUGGCGAUCUCAUCCAAUAUGUCCUCCGCAUCAUACACGACCUCUUUAAGCAAGACCAGCCACUUCUUCACAUAUGGAUUUGUAAACUGUUUGACCUCAGCAUCGUUGAGCACUGCAUGGACGACCAACAACUUCCUUUCCAACUUCUUCAGGAGCACAUCGCUGAGCUUCUGCCCCCGGAUGAAGCUCACAACCUCGCGAGAAGCCAACCUGUCAAAUAGAACUUGGAGAGAAGCUGAGAGAAACGCACCUCCAACUAAAGCCCCUGCCAUUUCUGUUUCUCUUGCAAAGGAAGUGAACGAUGAAUUGAGGGAAGAAGAAAUUACGCAGACCCAAAAUGAAACCUCCAAACCAGAAAAAGAUAGGUUUGUAUAGAGAAAAUGCAACUUGUUGGUAGUAAAAUAACUUUGGAUUCCAAGGUACUUUCGUGGAAGACCCCGUACGUCUGCUUUCUGCCAACAUCAUUGGUCAAUGAUUAAUAGUAUUGUUUCACUGGGCUUUUUUAAUGGUUGGAAAUGAUUUUCAUCCAUUGAGGUGCAAAUUAUAAUUAAUAGACUUGACAUUCACCAUGGUUAUCUUCAAUUUCUUUAGUGGAUUUGAAUACUAAUUCAUGGUGUGGGUCUUUUUUUAUUCUUUAUAAAAUUAUAAUAAAAAUGAUAACAUUUACCGUCCAAGGAUACAAUAUUUUUUAAAUUUCUUUUAUUUGGAUUUUCAAACAUAUACAAUUCAAAGGACAAAAGUAUGGAUGAAUGCACCUUUAAAAAUUCAUCUUAUUGAUAUGAAUCCAAAGGGACACUAGUUUGUAUAUAAGUAUAAAAAACAACUCAAUGCAUACACGAAAGGCACUAUUGGGCCAAAAUUCAAAGAAACAAGAGGAAACAAAUUGGCAAUGGCUUCUAUUAUGGAGAAUGGGAUCUAUGGGAUUUGGGUCAAUGAAUUUCAGAUGGACCCCGGGAAGCCAGGAAGCCUUCUUCACGCUUCCAAUUUUAUAUGAAUUUCCAUUAAAAGCAUUAUGGCCAGUUUGUUUUAAUGUGUUGACAGUCAAAGCAUGUGCCUUGUAACAUUGCGCAGAAUAUAAUAUUUUUCAUUCAGACUGUUCACAACUUGCUAAAAUCAAGAUCUGAUCUCAUACUCUCUCUUAUCUUUUAUUUUAUAAGUAUGAAAUCCAACCCUAUUAUAUUUAAAAUGGGGAGGUUCAAAUAAGUUGAUUGCCACCUUGUAGGUAUGUGACAUGCUAUGAUUGCCACCUGUAAAGAUUCGCCGUCUACUCAUGUACUCAACUGUGACCAAAGAUUCUUGAAGACACUUUUAAAACUUGUAAACGCAUUCAUCAAAAAGUUUAGCAUCUCACAAACCUUUAAAAAACCAAAAAAAAAAUGAUUUCUUUAAAACAGAAUUUCUACAAUGUAAUUAGAUUCUCAAAUUAAUCUCUUAUCUAUGUGAAUACCAAUGUCAUAAAAUGAUAAUCGGUAACUACGAUUUUAAUUUUUUUUUUAAAUGGUUAAAACCAUAAUUGAUAACUAUUGUUUUAAGAUUAAAUUGGAAGAGAUAUUCACCAACUAGGUUUUAUAUAUGUUUUAAAAAAAUUUUAAAGCCUUAGUAAUUAUGGUUUUGUGACAAAAAAAAAUUAAAAAUUAAAAAUUCUCUUGCAAUACGGAUACAUUAGUUUGGGAGCUAUUUUGUUCGAAGGUUUAGUUUGGGAUUUUUUUUAAAAUACAUUAUUUUUGCUCAAAACUCAAAAAUUCAUUUAAAGCGAUUUUUGGAUUAACAUUUGAUAAAGAAUUUUUUAAUUAUUUUUUUGCUAUUAAAAAUACUUUCAAGAUGCUUUUAUAUAUAUAUAUAUAUAUAUUUGAUUCUUAAUAAAAACAUUUAUGAUAUACAUAUUAGGUAAAGUGUUACAAAGACUAGUUUGUUGGUUAUUUGGAAGGACAUUUUGUAUAACAAAGGUGUUUAUGCCUGUUACACUAUAACAAUGUAUUAAUGAAUUAUUCAACUUUGGAUUUCAUUAUUGUGGUGGAUUUGUUUAACAAACUUUAUAAAUCAGUGGACAUUAAAUAAUUUUUUUUUUUUGUCAAAAAAACAAAAUAAAAGCAAAGAGCACCAAGUGGUAAUUAAAUAAUUAAAUAAAUUAAAAGAAAAAUAAAAAGAAGAUAAAAGAAUAGAUAAAGAGCUAAAACUUGUCCUUUACCCAAUUUAAAAUUAUAAUUUAAGUAGAUUCUUAUUUGAAAAAUCAUAACAAAUAUUGAAUUUUCAACUAAUAAUUAAACUUGUCGAAGACAUAAAAAAUUUUAAUAGAUUAAAUUGUGAUUAAAUUAGUCUUCAGAAUCAUAAUUUUUUAAUUCAACAAAAAUUGGGCUUAAAUGGAAUGGGUCAUAUAUAUUAGACACGUAACAUGUAAUUAAAAGAUGACAUGUAAUGAAGUUCAGAGGGUUAUAAAAUUAAAUUUUGUAUAGAAGAGAAUUAUAAAUAAAUAUUCUUUUGUUGAGAAAUUCCCUAAAUAAGGAAAUGAAUUUUCCAAUUGUAGUGAAAAAGGAAUUAGAAAUAAAUGUUUAUGACAGAAAUACCAGUAAAAAGUGUAAUAAGAGUAAGUAUUUAGUUAUUUGAAAGGGCAAUUAGUAUAAAAAGGGGUGAUUAUGUUUGUUUAAUGAUUGCAACAUAAAAUUGAAUUAUUGAACUUUGGGUUCCAUUAUUGUGGUGGGUUCAGUGGACUUUAAAUAAAGUUGAUAAAGGAUUUGAGACACUAGGGCAACAAUAUUUUGUCAAACAAAAAAUAAAGAUCGAGGUUAGUUUAGCUUAUCAAAGAAAAAAAAGACUAAUACGGUGUUUGGUUUUUUGGCUGAAUAAAAAAAGCCAAAUAUUUGGCUUUUUCUAUUCAGCCAAAAAACAAACACCACCUUAGUUAGACAUCAGUUUUCCAUUGAAGGUGGUACCCUAAGAAGAUGGAAUUAAAAAGUGAUUUGAGUUUGAUGCUUUACUUCUUGGUGACAUGAUUCUAAAUUUUCAGGUGCACAAAGACAUUUUUAGAUAUAAGCACUACCUAUCAAAAAAUGUUUAAACCUAUGCCAUUCAUAAAUUAUGAUCCCUCCUAUGUGUCGUUACCGUGCUCAAGAAAACCAUUACUACCCUACUUCCUUUCGCUACCACCAUCCUUAAUAUUUCGAAAUUCUAUCCCAUAUUUUACAAGUAAACAGACCAAUUCCACAUGCUUUCUCACAUUAGUCUGAAUCAUCAACCACUGAAAAGUGAUUAACAUCAAUGAAUCAAAUGUUUAUACAGAAAAAAAAUCUAAUAACCAAUUUAAGAGCAUAACAAUAAACAAUUUGUUCUAAAGGGUACAGAGGAAAUCACAAUUCACCAAUAUGAAUAUGAAAAACAAUAGCAACGCAUCCUCUGCACUUUCAACACUCUUUCCCUCGCAGAGAAACUGAAUGCAAUAAAAUCACAGUAAAGCCACAAGCUUACACAUCAAGAAAAUGUGCAUAAGAAUGUAUGCAUCCAUUAAAAAAAUGUUAGCUUCAAAGUAAGAUAUCAUUUUGCCACCAAAAAGACUUCAAGUUUCUUAGCUUUGAUAGGUGUGUUAGAAUUAGAAGCUGGAUUUGCAGCUGCUGCAACCUUGGUGGCCUCCCGCGCUCUCUCUUAUCAAGCUGAACCAGGCUCGUGUGGCCAAAAUUGCCAAUGGAAGCAAAUCGUGAGAAGCCCUGGCAUACAAACACCUCACUGCCACUGAUGUGGCAUCUUUCACAUCUUGAAAAUUGUGAGGAGCCAACAGACAGUGGCCAAUAAUUUGCUAUGUGGGCUGCAAAAGCUCCCAAGGCAGUGAUCUGAGUGAUCAUCCCAACAGCAACACUAUGUAAGGGUACAUGACAGUGAUCUACGUGAUCAUCCCAAUGGCAACACUACGUAUAUAGAAGACUUAAGAAAAACCAAAGCAAGAACAAGAUGACAUAAGAAUUAGGAAAGAAACAAAUGCAGCAAAUGCAUAAAAAAUAUGUUAUAUUCCUAUAUCCUUGCCUGUUAACUGUGGACUAAUCGGUGAGCUCUCCCUGUAUGCUAGCAGAACAGAGCAACCGCAAUCAAGUAUGAUCUGACUUAACCAAUUCAGUACCAGAAACAUAGAAGAAAUUGUAGUAGUGUACUUGCCAUCUCCCUAUUUGAUGCAAGUUAAAGUUUUCAGGCAUUGAAAGAGCAGCAAUCUUCCUCCCUCCAUCUUCCAUCCCCAACAACCUUUGAAAUAAUUUUAUUACAAAUUAAAGCAACAAAUGCCUUAGUUAUUGAAAAGUAUAAGCCCAAAGAAAACAUGCUUGUUUCUUUUUGGUUACGUAUAAGUUAUCACACAUUUCAAUCUCAUACAACCUACAAAAUGAUGUAUGAACAACUUGUAAUUUGCAGAUUAAAAAGAGUCUCCCCUGUUGUGCCCUCAGAAAAUGGACUGAUGCAGUAAAUGUUGAUAGAUUAGUCUAUGGAACAUAAUUAGAGCCUCAUGAGUAUAUACAAUAAGACAAGUCACAUAUUAUACCCGGAGAGCUGAUUGGCACGGUGUUAUGACCAUAGGCAAUGACAUCUUAAAAAGUUUGUGUAUAGGGAGACUUGAUACCAAAACCAACAAUCCAAUCUUAGUCUUGAAGUACAAGAUGUUGAAGAUCCACUUUUGUCAAGGAUGGAGCUUAGUUGGCAAGAUUGAAAUGAAACAAUUCCCAAUGACUAGAACUUAGAGGCGCUUUGACUUCUACAAAUAGAAGAAGACCUAAAUAUGUUGUAUCAUGACAAUGUAAGGGUGAAGGAAGGGCGCAAAGUAGAAGACAGUGGCAUCAAGCCAUUCCAAAUCAACACAAAUAGGACUUAAAAUAUUAACCAAAACAAAUUGAAUAAUAGGCUCUUUGGAGGAUCCCUUUUUUUAAUUUCAUAAAUUCUCAUAUUCUAAUUCUAUUUCAAAUAAGUCACAAAAAUAAAACUUGAAAACAAAUCAAUAAAUAUUCUUAUAGGGUUUAAGACAUUUUUAAAACUUGAAAACGCAUUCACUAAAAAAUAAAGCAUCAAACCAAGCUUUAAAAAAAAUUUAAAAAUCAAAGUUUUAGGCAAAAAUGAUUUCUUUAAAACAAAAAUUCCACAAAGUAAUUUGAUUCUCAAAAUCAUUUAUAAAUUAGUGUGUCAUAAAACUAUAGUUUUAAUAUUUUUUUUAAAAUGGUCAAAAUUGUAGUUGGUGAUUAUGAUUUUAAACUUAAAUUUAAAAUCAUGAUCAUUAACUACGGUUUUAUAUAUGUUUAAAAAAUUUUCAAAAUUAGUAAAUACAGUUUUGUGACUAAAAAAAAAAAAAGUUCUUAGGCCUUGUGGAUAUUUAAGUAGCUAAGAUGCGUUAGUUUGAGAAUUAUUUUGGUAAGAGGUUUAGUUUGAGAUUUUAUUUUUAUUUUUUAAGAUAUAGUAUUUUUGCUCAAAAUUCAAAAAGUCAUUUAAAGUGAUUUUUGAAUUAAUAUUUGAUAAACAUUUCUUUUAAAAAAUAUUUUUUUGUUAUUAAAAAUACUUUCAAGGUGCUUUUUUUCUUAUUUAUAUUCAAAAUAUUAAUUUUGAUUCUUAAUAAAAAUAUUUAUGAUAGAAAUAUUAGGUACAAGUAUUGCAAAGUGUAGUUUGUUGGUUAUUUGAAAGGACAUUAUAUAUAACAAGGUGUUCAUACUUAUUGUAUUAUUGAAUUAUUGAACUUUGGAUUUCAUUAGUGCGGUGGAUUUGUUUAACAAACAUUAGAAAUCAAUGGACAUUAUGUUGUGAAAAUCAUGAAAAAGAAUAAUAAUAGGGAGAAAAGAAUAAGAAAAAGGAUAACAAAACACACAACGAUUUAUGUGGUUCGACCUUAAGCCUACAUUCACGGGCGAAAACGAAGAACUUUUACCAUGGUUUUAGAAUACCGGAUUGGACCGGCUGAUCCGACUGCCGACUGGUCACUGUUCUGGUCCGGUCCAACCAAUUGGACUGGAAUGGUAUUGAACCGAAGUCGGACCGAACCAGCGGUCCAACCGGUAAACCGGACGAAUCUGCCGGUUCGGAUAUUCGAUUAAAAUUAUUUUUUUCCUCCCAUUGUUGUUGUCCCUCGUUGGCAACACCCCUGUGCUAGAAAAACUUCCCCUUUUUGCCCAUCGAAACCCACCCCCGCGCUAGAAACCCCAUUUUUCCAUGACCCCGUUGGAACCUCCGCCCCCAUCCCCGCUGGAAAAGCUUUCAUUUUUUGCCCUUUGGAACACCCCCACACGACUCCCAGGAACCCCCACCCACACCCUGUGCCGAAAAAGCCAACCCCCUUCUUCCUUCCCCCCAAACCCUCCUCUUAGCAACCCCCACUGGAACCCCCACAUUGGAAAAAGUAUUCCCUUUUUGCCUGACCCUCUCAUCCCUUAUUCCAGGUUGUUUUAUUUUUUUUAAUUAUUUUUUAUCUCAUCUCUAUAUUAUUUAUUUAUUUUUAAAUUUAUUAUUAUUUUACUUCAUGUUUAAAACUUAUGAUUUUAAUUUAAAUUAAUAAAAAAAUUACCAGCUUAAAUCAAUUUCUGAUUUUAAAAUAAGUUUUUUAAUUUAAAAAUGGAUUUUAAAUUUUAAAUUUGAAACUAAUUUUUUGAUUUUCAAAUAAAAUUUUAAUUUUUAAAUAAUGUAUAAAUUAUUAUUUUUAUUUUUAUAAUUAUUUUAAAUUUUAAUAAUUUAUAAAUUAUAUAUUUAUGACGUCAUCGGUUCGAUCGCAGUUCGAUUGUCGGUUCGACCAGUGAACCGUGAACCGAUAACUUUUCCGGUUCUGAAAACAUUGACUUUUACUAUUGUUAAAGGAUAUUACAACUCUUAAAACUCUCAAAUCCUAAAACCCCAAUUUAUACCUAAAAAAAGACUUACUAUUUUGGUCAAAAAUCUCUUCCUAUAUUUUUUCCUAAUUACAAAAGAAGUUUCUAUAUAGGAAACAAAGUGUAUAAUUGUCAAAGAUACCUUUUCCUAAAUAGAAGAUUUCAUAUUAGGAUAUUUCCUAUAAUAAUAGGAAACCCACUUUCAAGAAUAUUUUCUAUUAGGAAACUAUCAAUAACUUUCCAAAUUGACUCAAAAUACAAUUUGAGACACUUUCCAACAAUCUCCAUCUUGGCUCAAAUUCCCAAGAUUAAAAUAAACUUGAAAGUCUUCAAGUUACUUCUCUCCCACAUCCUAUAGGGGUCUUCAGAUACUACUAACACCAAUUAAGUCAAAGCAAUGCUUGAACUUAAUUAUAGGAAUAGACUUAGUCUUCAUAUUUGCAGGAUUGUCCAUUGUAGGGAUUUUUUUUUCAUUACAAUAGCACCAUGUGCAGUCAUAUCCCUAAUAAAAUGCAUUCUGACAUCAAUAUAUUUGGUCCUCUCAUGGAACAUCUAAUUUUUAGUCAAAUGUAUGACACUUUGGCUAUCACAAUACACAACAAUCAACUCUUGUUGUAAGUCUAAAUCACCAACCAAACCUUUAAGCCAAACAACUUUUUUCACUGCUUCUGUGGCUACCAUGUAUUCUACUUCAGUGGUUAACAAAGCAACUAUAGAUUGUAAAGUUGCUUUCCAACUAAUAAUACUACCACAUAAAGUAAAUACAUACCCUGUUAGAGAUUUUCUUUUAUCCCAAUCUUCAUCAUAAUCAAAAUCAACAUAACCAACAAUUUCCCCAAAGAUGUCAAUAUUUUUAUCAUAUACUAAGCCAACAUGUGUGUUCCUCUCAAGUAUCGAAGUAUCCAUUUCACUACUUGCCAAUGGAUAUUUCCAGGGUGAUCCAUAUAUCUACUCACCACACUAACUGCAUGUGAAAUAUCUAGCCUAGUGCAAACCAUGACAUAUAUAAUGCUCCAAACUACACUAGCAUAAGGAACAUGUGACAUGUACUCUCUCUCUUCUUUAGUUUGUGGUAAUAAAGCACUAGAAAGUUUGAAGUGAGCUAUGAAUGGAGUACUCACUAGUUUUGAACCUUGCAUUCCAAAGUGUUUUAAUAUUUUCUCAAUGUACUUUUUAUGUGACAAGUACAAUUUUCCUUCUUUUUAGUCCCUAUGGAUCUCCAUAUCCAAUAUUUUCUUCAUAGCUCUAACGUCUUUUAGUUCAAACUCUUCUUGACGUUAAGUUUUCAAACUGUUGAUCUCAGACAUAUUCUUGCAGGCAAUUAACAUGUCAUCAACAUAUAACAAUAAAUAAAUGAAAGAACCAUCAAACAAUUACUUCUGACAAACACAAUUAUUAUACUCACUUCUAUGGUAGUCAUUACCAAUCAUAAAAGUAUCAAACCUUUUAUACCAUCACCUAGGAGAUUGCUUUAAACUAUAAAGAGAUUUCUUCAAUAAACAAACAUGGUAUUCCUUUCCUAAAAUGAUGAAUCCUUCCGGUUGAUGCAUAUAAAUUUGUUCUUCCAACUCACCAUGUAGAAAAGUAGUCUUGACAUCAAGUUGCUCUUACUGUAAAUUAAAUAAAGUAACCAUAGCAAGUAACACUCUGAUUGAGUUAUGCUUCACAAUCGGAGAAAACACUUCAUUAAAGUCCACACCCUUUUUUUGUGAGUAGCCCUUUGCCACCAAAUGUCUUUAAACCUAGCAUCCUCCACUCCUAGAAUUCCUUCCUUUCUUUUGAAGACCCAUUUGCAACCAACAAUCUUUUGAUUUUUAGGUUUCUCAACUAGUUGCCAAGUAUGGUUCUUUUGAAGAGAUUCUAUCUUCUCAUUCAUAGCAACAAUCCACUAUGUAGACUCUCUACUAAUGAUGGCUUCGUGAUUAGUUUAAGGUUCCUCAUUUGCAAUGCUCUUUGCCACAUUAAGUGCAUAAACAACCAAAUAUGCAUAAGCAUACCUUUGUGGUGGUAUAAUAUGAAUCCUUAUUCUAUCUUUAGCCAAAUAAUAUUGAUGUUCUUGUGGUGCAUUUUCUUUAUCAUUAAAAUGUUGCACUUCUUCCUUCUUUAACUUUAUUGAAAUCGUUUUUUCUAUGGUUUCUAAAGCUUUAGUCACAAACUUCACCAUUUUUUUCUCACAUCAGGGUCGUUUUCUGUAUGAAAUUGCUCCUUUCUAGGACUCAACAUUGCAGACUCAUUAAAAGUCACAUCCCUAUUAAUAAGAAAUUUGGAAAAAUUUAGAUCUGGGCACCAUUACUUAUACCCUUUCACUCCAUCGACAUAUCCUAAGAAUAUGCACUUUCUUGCCCUUGGUUCCAACUUACCUUCAUUCAUAUGAGCAUAAGCAGGACAACAAGAAAUUAUUAAAUUAACAUAAUUAGGAGAACCACACCAUACCUCUUCAGGAGUCCUACAAUUAAUAGGAAUUGAAGGAGAUCUAUUCACAAGAUAUCAAGUUGAAUUUACUACUUUAGCCCAAAAUUCCUUUGACAACUCUACAUUCGAAAGCAUGCAUCGAGCUUGCUCUAAAAGAGUUUUAUUCAUCCGUUCUAUCAACUUUCUUUCACUCAUAUGCCUAAGCCGCAUAUGCCACAAUCUAGUAAUCUUUAUAAUUGAUUUUGAGGUUGAAACUGCAACUGCACCUGUUACCGUGCUACCCUACUAUGUAUAAAGACCAUUAAUUUUCUUUCCGUUCAUCACAACAAGACCACCCUUUGAAACCCUCAAAACUCCACCUCUAGCUUUAUAUAUGCAUCCAUUGGAGUCAAGUGUCCUUAAAAAAAUCAAAUUUUUGUUCAAUUUUGGAACAUGCCUUACAUUAGUUAAUGUCCUUAUAAUGCCACCAUGCAUCUUAAUUUGAAUUGUGUGUAUCCCAACAACCUUACAAGCUACCUUGUUUCCCAUGAGAACUUUCCCACCAUCUAUGGGUUGGUAGGUACUAAAUCAAUCCCCAUUGGGAGACAUAUGAUAGGAGCACCCUGAAUCAAGAAUCCACUCAUCAUCUAAGUUUGUAAUAGUAACUAAAAGAACAUCUGUAGUAUUUGAAUUUUCUUUUGUAAAUGUUGCAUCACCAGAAUUAUAAUUUCUCUUAUUUUCUUUUCCUUUACGAUCUGGACAAUUUUUCACAUAGUGCCCUUCUUUUUUACACUUGAAACAUUUGUUGUUUCCCCUGGACUUUGAUCUAGAUCGACCUCUUCUACCAUUAUUUUUCUUUCUUGUUCUCCCUCUAGCCACCAAACCUUCACCUGAGUCAUAUUUUCUACUUUUGAACACCAUUUUCUUCAACUCCCUUGAGUUCAAGGCUACUCUAACAUCCUUUAUGAAGAGAGUACCUCUACCAUACAUCAUAAUAUCUACGAAGUGCUCAUAAGAAUUUGGUAGGGAACACAUUAAAAAUAUGGCUUGGUCUUCAUAAUUAACUUUAACAUCAAAGUGGUCUUUCAUGGACAUACUUUCUUUCAUCUGAAGAGUGUGCAAUCGCUUCUUUAAAUACAAACGAUUUUUUAGAGACUUCGUCAUGUGCAGACUUUCUAGCUUCAACCAUAACUUGGCAGUUAUAUCUUCUUCUGCAAUCUCACGAAGCACCUUAUUACCCAAACACAAUAGAAUAGCACUAUGUGCUUUCUCCAUAGGUUCAUCAUUCUUUUCAUCAAACAUCAUUGUUGGUAGAGUCUUUAUACCUUUCAAUGCUUUGGACAACCCCUAUUGAACCAAUAAGGCAGGCAUCUUAAUGCGCCACAAAUUGAAAUCGUUUCUUCCAUCAAACUUCCCAACCUCAAACUUUGUCGCCAUUCUAGGUCUAAUAACCUUAGCUUUGAUACCAAUUUGUUGUGCAAAUCACUAGAAAUAAUAAUAAUAAGGAAAAAAGAACAAGAAAAAAGAAAACAAUACACAACGAUUUACGUGGUUCGACCUUAAGCCUAUAUUCACAGGCAAAGAUGAAGAAAAACUUUUACUAUUGUUAAAAGAGAUUACAAUUCUUGAAGUUCUCAAAUCUCAAAGCCUCAAUUUAUACCCAAAAAGAGACUUACUAUUUUGGUCAAAAAUCUCUUCUUAUAUUUUUUCCUAAUUACAAAGGAAGUUUCUAUAUAGGAAACAAAGUGUAUAAUUGUCAAAGAUACCUUUUCCUAAAUAGAAGAUAUCAUAUUAGGAUAUUUCCUAUAAUAAUAGGAAACCCACUUUCAAGAAUAUCUUUUAUUAGGAAACUAUCAAUAACUUUCAAAAUUAACUCAAAAUAUCAUUUGAGACACUUUCCAACACAUUGAAUAAUUUUUUUUUUCAAAAAAAGAAAGACAAAAGCAAAGAGCACCAAGUGGUAAUUAAAUAAAUAAAAAUAAAAAUAAAAGAAGAUAAAAGAAUAGAUAAAGAGCUAAACUUGUUCUCAGACUAGAUUUAAAAAUAUAAUUUAAGUAGAUUCUUAUUUGAAAAAUUGUAAGAAAGCUUAACGUUUGAAGUACAAUAGUAAAUUUCCAAUUGAUAAUUAGAACAUGUUGUAGAGAUCAAAAUUUUUAGUAGAUUAAAUUGCGACUAAAUUAGUCUUUAAAAUCAUGGUUUUUAAUUCAACAAAAAUUAGGCUUAUAUGGAAUGGGUUAUAUGUAUUAGACACGUGGCAUGUAAUUAAAAGAUGACAUGUAACAAAAUUCAGAAGGUUAUAAAACUAAGCUUUGUAUAAGAGAGAAUUAUAAAUAAAUAUUCCCUUGUUGGCAAAUUCCCUAAAUAAGGAAAUAAAUUUUCCAAUUUAUGUUAAAAGAGAAUUAUAAAUAAAUAGUCUCUUGUUGGCAAAAGAAUAAGAAAAGUUACUAAAAUCAAGAAACCAAAUUCUUUGAAUUAAACAAUUAAAUCUAUAGGAAUCAAAAUUCAAUUUUCUAUUUCCAUCUAUAAAUAAUGGCUACUGCCUUCAAAGAAGAGGAUAGGAAAAAUAAUUUCACAUAGGAAAAUAAAAUCUACGACAAGAAAAAGGUUUCUUAAAAUAUCCUUACAAGUUUGAGAAAUCGAAUAAGUUUUGUAGACACAUUCUUCAUUAUUCAAUGAAUUCAUUCAAGAAGUCAAUAUAAGCCUUCGAUUGAUUUUAAAAUCAGGAAAACACUUUCAUCGUCAUCUUUUGAAUUGUGAUUAAAGUGAAUGAAUCAAAGAAAAAAAAUUCUUUAUAAAGAAUAUUAUCACAAAAAUUGUAUUCUACAAUUAUUUUAUCCUAUAAUUAUUUUAAUACAAAGUUUUGUUUGCAUAUUUAUUUUUUCUAUAGUUUGGCUUAUUUUGCAAGACUUUUCAAAAUCUAUGCAUACAAAUUUCUAGCCAUUAAGAUGGGAUAUCUUUGUCUCUCAUCUUUUUUAGUAAAAAAAUUGAUCACUAUUAAGACGAUCACAUAAAAAAAAGGCUCAAACUAUGUAUGUUAACAAGGACUAGAACAAGAUUGUUAUUGGACCCUUCUAAAGAGGCAUGAAUUGAAGAAAUUGUUGAAAUGAUGAGUAGAUUUUCAAAGGAUUGUGAGGAAGCCUCCAACAUCGACAAGCUUCAAGCGAGGAAAGCAGUUAUGAGUAGGAUGUUGGUGAAGAGCCUGCAAGUUGGGGAUGCUGUGUUUGAGAGAAUAUCCCAUGCUGUUUAUUUGGCUGCAAGAGGAGUAGUGCUUGUAGGGAAUGGCCCUCAAGGAAGAAAAUUAGCAGAAAUGGCACUCCAGUUGGUGGGAACCGUUGAUCUGACUAAUAGAGUGGUGGCAGCUGCUGAAAUAUUGGUGGCAGCAGCCACGGUGUUGGUUAAUGUUCAUGGGCAAUGGUAUACAUAUCUGACUGAUAACAUGUGACUAGUUUGACAUGAAGAAGAAUGAAUUUAAUUACAAGGAGGAAAGAAGAAAAUAAUGCACACACCUGUACAUAGUGGUGGAUGUACAUUUAUGUUUUAAGUAUGAACACAGGAUGGAAGGUUGUUAAUAUGAAAAAAUAUUUCAUGAAUGGGAGAGGGAUGUUGUAAAUAAUAUUUAUAACUGAAUUGAAUGUUUUUUUUUUUCUAUUCUGAUUCAACUACCUUUAUUUUCUGUCCAGACUCCAGAGAAAUAAAGUUUGUAUGUCUGUCUGUCUGUCU
rnacentral:lncRNA from 1 species